AAACUCAACCUCUGAAGUAGGGUGUGUUUGUUAUACAGAAUUACAGUUCGUACAACCGUGUGAGUUCGACAAACUCGACAUCUCGCGUCUGCGCCACAGUGAUAUGGUGAGUGACUCGCAAUUCCUUGUCUCUCACUGAACGCUUAUGACCUGCAAUUCCUCAUCUCGUUCUGACUUCAUGAUUAACACCGAUGCCAUUAACAUACUGAUGUUAUAUGAAAUUUGAAUCAUGUUUGUUUGUUUGGAUGAAUGUUGUUUAGUAUAAUGUUUUCUCUGUACUUCUCAGUCUCCAAUAUCAGCAAUCAACUCCUCAUCAAAAAUGCAUAUAUCCGUAAUUAAAUAGCAUUAUUAUUGCUCAACCAACUUAAUUGGUUCAGUACGUAACCAUUUUCCACCUAACCGACAUAUAUAUAUUGGCCCCAUUCCUCUUUAUUGAGCUUCACAGGUCCUUUGGACUCCAUUUUUGUUUGCUAGUACGUACGUAGCUUUAUAGUCCCUAUUUUCUACGUAACCAAACAAUAUCGUGUCACGCUUGUGAUUAGUAUACAAUGCAUGUACGGGUCAUAAUUAAUUAGAUAGUAUAGCUUUUAUUUUUUUUUUAAAAAAAAAAUCAGGUAUAUAUUCAAUGUACUAACGCAAAUCAUAAAAAUUAUUUAGCAAAACUUUUGUUAGUAUUUUGAUGGGAUAAGUGUAGUCAAUUUUUUUAUGUUAAUUAUAGCAUUUAAUUUGGGCCCAAUAACACAUCAAUCAUCUAAUAAUUUUAUUUGUUAUGUGAAGGAAUUAUUGAAUGUGAAAACUUCAAUAUUGCACGAUAUAAGCCUUCAAAUAAUUCGAUGCAUUUUCGGAGAUUAAUGCUUUUCCGUGUAUGAAACUACUAGACCAUAUAUUGCGCAAUAGGUGUUAAUUAUGGCACCAUAAAUAUUAAUUAAUUCAUCAAAUAAUGAAGGCACAAACUAGUUUGCAUUAUAAAAUGUGUACAAGACUAGAAUAAAAUGAAAAUAGAGGUUCUUUUUAGCCAUAGUAAGAAAUAUUAAUUAAGGAUGAAAAGGAGCAAGCAUAGCGCAGUAACUAUUGCUGUAUAUAACAUGAAGUAAAAGCAAUAUCAAUAUUUCUUAUAUUUCAACAAUAAAGCCUAAAAAUAACCUGAUCAAUACGUCGAACCGAUAAACUAAGCCUUCUUGCUUCUAUUAAUAAAAUCAUCUUACAAAGAUUAAUUGAUUCCUAAGCCUAAGAUUCAACCACCAAACAGAUCGUCUCUAGAGCAAGUGACAAAGGGCUUGAUGAUUGGUACUCGAGACCCAAGUUCGAGUACUAGUUGAUUCAUAUUUCCAGCUAAGUUUAUUUCUAAAUGAAAUAAAACGAAACGGAUAGCGUGCUACCUAUCUCUCUCGAAAAAAAAAAAAAAAAAAGAUUCAACCACCAAAUAUUAUACUUGAAUAUUCUUUGUUUGCUGAUUUCGACACACACAAACCCAAAAAAAAAGGAAAAAACAAAAAAGAAAAAGGCCAUUAUGUUAAUUACGUUUCUUCGCCUAACAAUUAAAUUCUGAUUAUCCAUAACAAAAUCGUACUAUUCGACAAAUGAAUUAGAUUUGCCAUAUAUGGGACAUAUAAAGGAUCCAUCGUUUUGUUAUCUUAGCAACUAUAUAACAUGUAGCUUCCUAGUUCUAAGUUUCACACAACCAUGCAACCAAUUCAUAUAUAUAUAGUACAUUAUGAUACACAGGUUUGGAAUGUAACUUAUAUAUAAUUUUUCCCAGCUAAUUAUCAACCAAAAAAUAAGCGAACCUUCGCGUCUCUUUCUCAUUCAAAUAUUGAUUGCAGUAUUUGAGUACCAAAAUAGAGCCGUAGCGAAUCGGAUUGGACUUAUUCGAAAGGGCGAAGAAAUUGAAUGCGACAUUAAUCAAAAGCGGUCCCUUGUAAGUUUCGCGACUCGCGGUUUUGUUUAUUUUGUGAAGAGAAUUAGACAAAACUUGAUCUUCAUUAUGUUAAGAUGUCAACUUCGACUACACCCCAAAAUGGUGCACUCGUGCAUCGCUAUAAUCUCAGUUGAGAUAGUUAUUGUGAUGGAGAGUUUGGAAGGAGACAUCCUAUCCAACAACUAUUUUGGUUCAACUAUUUUGGUUUUUUUUUUCCCUAUUAGUUUACUUAUAAAAGUUAAAGUGUUCUGCUGGCUCGUCCUCAAGAAGAGAUCGCUUACUGUAGAUAAUUUAUUAAAAAGAGGAUGGAUAAGCAACACGAAUUGUGUGCUGUGUGGGUCUGAUAUGGAAACAGUAGACCACCUUUUUUCUCAAUGUGUAUUCUUCAAAUUUCUUAUGGUGAUGUCAUUGGAGGAUGUCCAAGCAGGAGAUUUGGCCGAAGAUGUGCAUAUGGUUUGGGACAGACGAAGCGGAAGGAUGGGGUCUCAGUCCAUGAGCGAUGGUUUACCUGGACUAAUUGCCUGCUGGUGGGUUAUUUGGGAGAUCAUGAAUGGUGUGAUCUUGAGGAGGAAUCAGACUGAUCCAAUCCGUGGUUGUUAUAAGGUUAAACAGCUGACGUACCUACGNGCAAAAGGAAAAGACUUGGAGCUCUUCUUGGCCUCACUGAUUUUUUGAUUUUUUUUAUUUUUUUUAUUUUUAUUUAUUUGGUCUUUGUCCAGCUUUUCAUCUCUUCAGAGGUCUUGUUGCCUCACCCAUGUAGCUAAAUUCAUACCCUAAAUGAAUGAAGCGGGUAGCGUGCUACCUUUUUCUCAAAAAAAGAUAGGCUUGAAUCAUGUUUUUCCUCUUCUUCUCAUAUGCAUUCACUCUCACUGUUUCUCUCUCUUGAUCUCUCUCUUAUUCAAACCCUAAAUUUGAUUUCCAACUUUUCCCCCCCCCCUUUCUUAGCUUAUAAAUGUAAAGAAUAAGGUUUUCUUCUACUCCACCUAUAUAUAUAUGUCAUUUGCAAAUUAACUUUUAGAACAAAUUUUCAACUUAAAAAAUAGAAAAUAAACAUUUUACAAAAAAAAUUCUGAAGCUUCUGACCAAAGUCGAAGUUAAAAUAAACUUUUGAAUCAUAAAAGUAGAAGAUUGAAAUAGAAAGAAUAUAAUUAAAAAGUUAAUAAACUUUGUUUGAUGUUUUUUCAAUUAGCUGAUCUUUUUGAAUUAGUAGGAAAUGUUUGAAUUAGUUAAUAAAAUUUUAGAUUUUUUUUUUUGUCGUAAACAGUUGUUUGAACGUUGGGACAAAGAAGCAAGAAUUUAGGCACAAAUUCUCUUGUUAGAGUGGUUUUGAUUUUCUAGCUUUUUAUUGUAUUUUUUUCAUCUUUCCUACUGAAAUUAUUUUAUUAACCUCCUAAAAUUUUUCAAAAAGAAAAAUGUUGAAUUUAAAACUUAAGGGCCGUUUGGUUGCAUGUAGUUGCAACUGUACGGCAGUUGUAACUGUAUAUAAAUACAAACUCGGUAUUUGAUUUGAUGUAUUUAACUCCAACUGCUGCAGUAAGAAGUGCAGGAGGUGGUCCAACUGCAACAGUUGGAACAACGCACAAAUUGGCUGCAAUUCUAACUGCAACAGUUGGAAAGUGUAACUUUAAAUAAAAGGUAACCUUGCCUCUUUAAAUAUUUUUUAAAUAGAAAAUAAAUUUUUUGUUACAUUAGAGGUAAUCUCACCAUUAUAUAUAUAAAAUAAUAAAAUUUUAAAAAUAUUUCUCAACUGCAUGGAACUAAAUAAAUUAUUUGUAGUUGCGGCGCUUUCUACUACAUCCAACCAAACAUGAUGUAUGUAAUUAUAACUGUUGUAUUUUUAACUAUAUGCAUAUUUAAUUAUAUUGUAUUUAUAAUUAGAUACAACCAAACGGCCCUUAGAUGCUUUAAUUUUGAUAAAGCAAUGUAUACCAAUGUAGUCAAAUUUUUUACCAUAUUCUCAUAAGGGAACAUAUAUAUUCCAAAAUGGGAGCUUUAGCUACCACCAAUAAUUAUGUUGAUUUUAAGUGAUAUGACCAUUGCAGGACCCAUCUAGAAGCUAAUGUCAUACCAAACAAUGAUGAGUUUCCUAGCCUCCUAUAAGAGAAGGAUAUUACUUGCAAGCCCAGGUACAUUAAUGAAUAUCAAACAUGACCUGAAUCAUUCACAAAAAAAAAAAAAAAAAAAAAAAAAAAAAGAGUAUCAAAGUUCCUAUCAUUCAAUAUAAUAUGCAAAUUAAGUAGCCUCAAAGAGAGUCAAGUUACUUUUGGUUACAAUUUCCAUUCCUAGUAAGGAGUUUAAAAGCAACAUUUAGCCUCUAAUUAAUUAUUACUUGAACUUGCAUAGCUAGUUUCUUGUUUCAGCAAAAUAUGUUUAAAACUGUCACAGUUAUUUCUCUCCCCCCUGUUUUUAGAACAGAAAACAUAGUAUGAUUUGUUAUUUUUUUAAAAAAUAUAACUGUAUCUUUUAGUGUGAGUUAUAUUGAAUUCACUGUUUGAUAAACAGGUAAUACUUACUUUUCUUUGAAUAUUACCCCAAAAGGUUCCUUUGUUGGGGAAUAAGAAGUAGCAUCAGAGGUGCCUAGCAUAUCCUUUUGGAUAGAGACAUAAAUGGCAAAAAAUUAAUUUACAAACAUUAAGGCUCCAGUACACUUUAAUGACAAAUUUUAAUUAAAUUGAGAAAUAUCCAUUCAUACUAGUGACUGAGUUAUAUAUGCAAGACAUUCUCUGGUGUUGAGUUAAAAUGGCACAGAAGGAGGUUGAGAUAUGCACUGUAACAUAUUUAUUGGAGGAGAUUGUCACAGUUGUAACUACAUAUUACAGGCGUAAAAUUGAUUAUUGCAUGUACAUGAGAAAAUAUAUAUUCCCCGAUUUAAGAGUGUGUGUGUGUAGCAUCGUUAGUCGUUCGAUCACUACUAUUACUACUAAAUUAUGAUAUUAAUUAAUAAUUAUAUCUAUAAAUAAGAGUGUAGAAUAGGUGCUUCGAAUCACCACAAGGAAUAGGAUUCGGCGCAAGUGCUUAAUUAUAUGUCUGUCAUAGAUAAAAGAUUCAGCUUUCUAUUUUUUUCUUAGAAAUAAAUAAGUUUUUUUUUGGAAAACAAUUUGUUCCUAAAAGUAAGUCCAUGUUCGAGAUGAACCAGAACAAGUGCAUCUAUCUAUUAUUUGGAUGCGAAAGAGAUAAUAGUCACCAUUAAUCUUAGUAAAUUAAGAUGCCCUAAAUCAUUCGCUUAAGCGUAUUGUUUUCCAAAAUUAUUUCUCCAUUAUUAUUCCAAGGAUCUUGGAAAUGUAUGGGGAAAAAAAAAAAAAAAAAAAAACCUCUGUUCUUAGACUUACCAUGGUGCUAAAAAAUUUCUUGGUUUGAUUUAAUUACUCUAACACAUGACUUGUGAAAUGGAACUAUGAAAUUGUCUUUUAUAUACUUUUGGAUGAAAAGAAAAGAGAAUGAAGAUGUGCCCUCUUUGAAUCCACACUUUUCAACCUUUUGAGUGGCACAUUGUCCUUUAGCAUGAUUACCAGAGCAACUUGAGGGAAAUGGUUUUGGGCCCCUAAAUAUAAUAUAAUAUAUUUUUUAUAUAAUAUUUAUAAAGUUUCUAAACAACUCAAAAUCUUCCAUAUUAUAUAGGUCAAAAACAGCAAAAACACUCUUCUAAGAACAACAUUUGAAAUACUGUAACUCCAUAAACAACAAGAAUUCAAGAUCUUCUGAAUGCAGUGGGAAGUUGAUAUGUAAUAAAAUUAUUAAACAAAAAAAUUAUUACGACGACCGCAUAAGCAGAAAUGAAAACGGCGAACAUAAAAUGAGAUGAAUAUAAAAAUUUAUGCAAAAAAAUUUUUGUAAGAAAAAAAAAUCGCGGGUGAAAAAGAAGAGAGCUUUACUGUGAAAGAGAGAGCAUAAUAUUUUGAAAUUUACAAAAUGCUAUAUCGUGUCCAGGGAAAAAGAAAAAAAAAAUCUUAACAAAUUCUUCACCCUUCGCUAUCCAUCACGGACAUUUAUUUUUUUUCACAAUUUAUUUAUUUUUUAAAUCUAUUGCACUGUAAAAUUGUCGAUGUAUCGAGAAUCCAAAAAUCAAAAUCAAGCACCGCAAAAUUAUCGACGAAUCGAAAAUUCAAAAAUCAAAAUCGAUAACCAAAUUUUAAAACACAUAUAAUAACUUUUAAUCUAAAAUUUUUAUUUCUACAUUAGCGAAAUGUGAAACAUUUUUUUUUUUUUUGAGAUUUUCGUACUGGGUUUAAAUCACGUGCCAGAGUGUUUUUGCCCUCGAGAAUCUUGUGUUGUCACCAAGCAAUAAGCAAACAAACAAAUAAAAACAGUCUCUUACAUCAUCAUCACCACAAGAAGGAAACAAGGAGGGAAAGAGCAAAUUGAUCUCCAAAAUUACCAAACCCAAACCUCCACCAGAUCACAUUUUUCUCGUGUUUGUUAAAUCCCAUCCUCAAUAAUAAUAAUAAUAAUAAUAAGUGCAGGGACGAAACCAGAAAUUAAGAUUUGAUGGGGCCAAAAUUUAGAUUCGAUAGGAAAAAAAUUUGAUCUCGGAUAGUAAGAAAAAAAAUUUGUCAGAUUCACAGAUAACGACAAUAUACUAAAAAAGGAACAUGACUGUAAGAGUUGAAGGGAAAGAACCAAAAAAUUCGAAAAAAAAAUUGAGGCAUAAAUUUUGUUAAAAAAAUUAAUUUGGCCCCCUAAAAUUAAAAUUUAUAAUAUUUUAAUUUUUAUUAUAAAGAAUUUUUGUAUAAUUUUAAAAAAUUUAGGAGGGGCCAUAAUUACUGUGGGCUCCUCAAUAGCUUUGUCCCUGAAUAAGUGUGCAUUAAAAAGGAUCCUCUUUCUACGUGGUUAAAAAUAUUUUUCCCCUCCCUUGAACAUUUCAUUUAUUAGUGACUAACCCUACUGUGUGCCCAAUCCAAGGCUUUGGUAAGCCACCAUUUGGACCAGUUCCCCUAAACCGAUUCGUUUAUUUCAUUUAAAAAUAAAUUUAGCUAGAAAUGUAAAUCAACUAGAAUUUGAACUUGGGUCUCGGGUAUCAACUAUCAAGUCUUUUGCCACUUGCUGUGUAAACAGUUGGUAUCACAUUAUUUUUUUUAAUUCACUAUUAUUGGAUCUAUACUAUUUUUUUUUUUUCAGAAAAUAAGUUACAUUAUUAUAUCUUUUAAUAUGGUAUUAAAAAAAGGAGGUUUCUAAAAUUUUUAUAAAAUUAUUUAUUUUUUAUAUUUUUCAUAUUUUGUCGAAGAACUGGCCAGGCCUGCCAAAAAAAAAAANAAGAGUGUUUUAAAAAAAAAAAAAAAAAAAAAAAAAAGGUGAGGAGUGAAAUCAGUAAUGAAGUACAAAUGGUGGACCGGGUCCACGAAGUGCUAUACUCCGAGCGACCAAUUUAUUUGGCCAAUUAUUACUGGAAUUAAGUAGCUAUGACUAAUAUCACUCCGUGGCCAUAUAAAUACCCCGAGUGCGCCUCCCUUUUUCCACUGCAGCGCCCCCACCCCCCCUUCGCCACCUCCCCUUCUCUCCUCUUUCUCUCCUCCCUUUACCAUUUUCGGGUGGUGGCGAAGGAGCUCGCUCUCAUCCCCCCUAUGAAGCAAUAAAACCCUAAAAAAGUUUCCCCCUAAUCUCUCUCUCUCUCUUUUGCCCCUCCUUUUUCUCCUUCGCCUGUGUUAGGAUGCUCCGCAGGUACAGGAUCUUCUGUUGCGGCGGCGGCGGCGGGGNAGGCCAGGGUCGCCGACGAGCCGAAGGCGGAGGAGGAGGUGGAGGAGGAGGCGAUCGGCGCCAUUAAGGGCGGCGCCGAGGUCCGGCGCUUCGCGUGGCCGGAGAUCGAAUCGCUCACGGCGGGGUUCACCUCCGCCGUGGUCGGCGAGGGCGGCUUCAGCACCGUGUACCUCGCCCGAAUCCCCCGCAAACCCUCCUCCUCCUCCUCCUCCCUCGCCGCCGUGAAGGUCCACCGCAGCAGCGAGCGCCUCCACCGCGCCUUCGUCCAGGAGCUCGACGUCCUCCGCCGCCUCCGCCACCCCAACAUCGUCCGCCUCCUCGGCUUCUGCGACGAUCGAGGCACUCCCCCUAAACCCUAAUCCCCCACCCCUUCCCCCCCUUCUUUCUCCCCUAAAUUUUUUUUUACAAACCAUAACGCGAUCCCUCCCGAUCUCAGAAGAAGGGGUCCUCGUGCUCGAGUUCGCCCCCAACGGGAACCUCCACGAUCGCCUCCACUGCGACCGCGGCCGCGGCUCCGCCGCCGCGAUCCCGUGGGCGCGGAGGGUCCGGAUCGCGUCGGAGAUCGCGCGGGCGCUGGAGUACCUCCACGAGGGCUUCGACCCCCAGAUCAUCCACGGCGACGUGAAGGCCUCGAACGUGCUCCUCGACUCCGCCAUGGGGGCGCGGCUCUGCGACUUCGGCUCCGCGCGCAUGGGCUUCUCCGCCGCCGUGGCCCGGCCCCGCUCGGCCCACGCCAUGCUCGGCUCCCCGGGCUACGUCGACCCCCACUACCUCCGCACCGGCGUCCUCACCAAGAAGAGCGACGUCUACAGCUUCGGCGUAUUGCUUCUCGAGCUCGUCACCGGCGCCGAGGCGUUCUCCGCCAACACCGAGCAGCUCUUGACGGCCGUGAUCGGUCCCCGCCUGCGUGAUUUGGAUGGCGACGUAGGGGAUCUGGUGGACCCGCGGUUGGGCCGGGAGUACGAAUUGUCGGAGGCGACGGCGAUUGCUGCGUUGGCGGCGCGGUGCAUCGGGGGGAAUCCGAGCAUGCGGCCGUCGAUGGCGGAGGUGGUGCAGAUACUGCAGGAGAAUGUUGCGGCCUCGAUCUCGGCCGGAGGUGAGGGAUCGGACGGGAAUGGUCGCGUGUAGAUUCCGUUUGAUAAUUUGUGAGUGUUUGAUGAUUUAUUGCACGGCACGAGACAUCGCGUCGAGUUCGCAGUCGAAGAAAAUAAUUUGAAUUGAAGAUGAGGGAAUGGAUCAAGUUAAAAAUAGAAAUAAUAAUAAUAAUAAUAAUAAUAAAUGGAAAGAAAAGAAAGAAGGGGGGAGAUGGUAAAUGGAAUCAGGGGAAGGUCAGCCAUUUUUGUGACUUGAGUGAUUAACAAUUAUUGAGUAUUUUGGCACAUAAAUUUCUCAUUAUUUGCUUGUUUGUUUAGGUGAAAAAUUAUGUAUAUAUAUAUAUAUAUAUCCCGCAAGAUGCUGUGUGUAAAAUUGGAUGUAAUCGUAUCUAACGAUUGAAUGGUUUUGUUCCUGAAACACGUACGUGUACAUGUAAUUUUUCUGUCUCUGGAAGUGUAAAUAUGAAAAUAAGAACUAUGCUCGGAGUGGUGUAUUUACAAUUGUAUUAAUAAAUAAUUGUUUUUCUGUAUGUGGCCCUUAAAUUUUCUACAGAUCUGAUGAAUAAAGAUUUUAUGUACAACAUUUCUUUCGAUUGAUUUAUCCAAGCAUUGAAACACUACAACCGCGAAGAUGAUUGAUUGUUAUACUUUGACGAUGCAUGGACAUGCCCUGCACACUCAGGCCACGAGAAAUCUACACCCUUCGUUGUGAGGGCGAUGUAUAGUGUGUAUCGGUGACUUCGAUGGACGGUGGAGGGUCUCGGCCGUGAUGGCGCGAUGAAACAUACUGCUGAUCCUACAAGCUCUUCCAAAAUAAACCAUUUGAGCCAUAUUUUCCUCUUACAAAUCUCGCCAAAUAAUCUUAUUAUUAUUAUUAUUAUUAUUAAUGUCAUUCUCAAAGUAGAGAGCACGUAACAUCAGGUUUUUUUCCGCGUGGCAUUGCCAGAUUACAAUACACUGUUCGACUAUAUUAUACAGCAAAUUGAGGGCCGUCGGAUUAAUAAUGCAUGUUUGAGAUUUGAUGAGAUAUUAGCGACGUCUCAACCGCCGGAUUUUAGCAUUCAAAUAGAGACGGCAGAGUAUAAAAUGCUUCCACAUUGUUUUAUUUUCUCUUUUUUUUUUUUUUUUUUUUUUUGAGAGAGAUAGAUAGCACGCUACCCGCUUCGUUUAUUUCAUUUAGAAAUAAACUUAGCUGAAAAUGUGAAUCAACUGGGAUUCGAAUAUGAAACCUCGGGUACCAACCAUCAAAUCUUUUACCACUUGCUCUAGGAGCGAUCAGUUUUCUCUCUUUUAUUAAUUAAUGUAUUUUGUAUUUUGCAUUGCUAGUGCGAAUAGGGGCUCGUGAAGAAUGAGUUGUGUGCGUUUGAAACUCGGUCAGCAGAAGGGGAUUGGACCAGUACAGUUCACCAGAGAAUUCAAUUAUUAAGAAUAAGUUAAAAAGAAAAGGUGUCAAGUGCUGUAACUCGUAAACAUAACUCGAAAAAUUGUUGCUUGGACCUGAUACAUAAAAGAACAGUUUCCUAAUCAUAAUUUUGCAAAAACUUAUGAUCUUCCGAAUGUAGACUAAUUAAUCCUCGCAAAGGUUAUAAAUCACAUUGGAUGGUUUAUACCUGGAUUCUUUUAAUAAGAUUUCUAUGGUAAAAAAAUUAUUGCAAAAUCACCAGCCGAUGCCAUGGACCAGGUCUAGGCAAUAAUUCAAAAGAGUGAUGGCCAUGUUGGGGUGUUGUGCUCUCCAAUUUGUUUAAUCUCAAUUCGUACACCCUAAUCCUAAGUCUACGCCUUAUUUUAGCUUUCAUUAGCAAAGUCUCCAUACUUUUAAUUCCUUUUAUAUAUAUAUUUUGCGACGAAACUGUAGGCAAAUUUUAAGUACUUUGCUCGCAUUAUUAUGAGGUGGGUGUGAUCUUUUUCUUUGAAAAAGUCGAAUUGCCGGGCCCAGAGGCAACAUGCCGGGUAAUCGAGUCAUAAUUAAAUCUAAUUAAGCAGUCAAAAUUGCUGGUGUUUUAUGCUCAAGCUAGCAGUGGAUAUCGAUCGCGUCCCCGAGCCAACAAUGUCUACCAAUUUCGACGCGCCAUUUUUAAUGAUUUGGAUCUGUCAAACAAAAAAAAACUAUUGAUUGAAUUCUGAUAUGCCUUACUUCUGCAAAAAGAUCUUUUGAUUUUGCGCUCAAAAUGGAAUUCAAUUCAACAUCAUGCUGCAAUAAAAAGCUUCAGAUCUUCUCUUAUAUCUUGUUUUUGUUGAACACUGCUAGAACUAGAAGCACAAAUUAUAGUAUUGGGCAGAUAUAUACUAAUUGUGCACAACAUCUUCCCCUGCACACCGACCGUCCCUAAAGCAAGCGGCAAAGGGUUUGGUGGCUAGUAUCCGAGGUCCCAAGUUCGAAUUCUAAUUGAUUCACAUUUUCAGCUGAAUUUAUUUCUAAAUAAAAUAAACGAAGCGGAUAAAUAAAAUAAACAAAAUAUGCAUCCAAUCUAACCAUGCAGGCCUAUCUCUGAGAAACUUCCUCACUUACUCAUUUUGUGUCAGAGGCAUUGACCCUAAAGUACAUGUUCAUAUGGGACAGUUGGAACCUGCAUCAGCCUCAAUUCUGGGGCCAUUGUCAAAGAACAAUUCCAACAGCACCAUGCUGGAUGCCCAGAAGGGAAUGAUAAGAGAUGGAUUAGUUGGCUCUUGGCCACCACUGUGAAUGGCCCUCCAUGCUGCCGGAAUAAUAAUGCCUCCCAUCGAGAAAAGACCGUUUUACCAUCCGAGGCAGUGUUUGGUUCGAGAACACUGAUAGUUCAUCCCAGUAUCCCGCUCUUGUCUGACUACCUCGUCAAACAUCAUGAGUUGGCAUGAAGGACAUCGAGCUGCACAGAUGUCUAACAAAUAUUGGAAAGAUACGAGUUGGCACCGAACUUUUAUUUGAAGAUAUGGGUUUUUCAAAUAACCGUUGUCUAACAGAUAUUAGAAAGUCGAUCGUAUUCUCUUAACCAGAAUAUGUGUUGUCUUUUAAAUAGUGUAGUUCACGAAUGAAGUGAUGUGUAGUAUUCUUAGUUUUCUGAGGAUCUGUAAUACAGGCUGCUAUAGAUGAUAGAUAAGCCCUUCCCGCGAACUUAUCUCUUCACAGACACACAGCUAAUUUGGUCAGGCAACAGUCACUUUCCAAAUAAUUUGAAUUUUUCAUGCAUGGCGCGCUCAUGCAUCUGCUCAGAAGCACUUUUUGAAGCCGCAAUUUUUUUGAGGGCGUGAGUUGUAACGGGGCUCCUCCAUGUGGAAGGGGCAUGUGAGGGCACGUGCUUCAGCUUCUCCCAUAAGUCCUUUUUAUUCAAUAAUAAUAAUAAUAAUAAUAAUAAUAAUAAUAGGAGCUGCAAAAAAUAUUGGUAGAUGAUGAGCAAUUGAGCACCACUCUUCCACUCAACCGAGGAGACUUGAAACUUUUUAUUUAAAAAAAAUAAAUAAUAAUAAUAACAAUAAAAACAAGGCCCUCUCCUCAUGCCACCUCAGCGAAUGGCCUACGUGUAAUGCUCGCCACGUGAGGAGGUGCAACUUGUAGCUCCAAAAGCUGGUUAAGUGCUUUACAACUCUCUCUCUCUCUCUCUCUCAAGUCUCAACGCAAGAGGAGGCUUUAAGCAAACAAAUGCACAUGUAUUUCACCUUCAAAGAGCUUUGCUUCCACCUUUGGGUUUGCUUUAUGCCAUUUCUUUAUUCUAAUAAAGCAAUGCUUGCUUUAAUACUUCCUGCGUAUUUUUAAAGUGUUGUUGAUGUGUUAGUAUAUAGUAUAUGUCUUGAGAUGCAUAUAUGAGAUAAUAUUAGUGCCCGUCACACAUUAUUGCUAGUGUCUAGUGCCAAGACUUUACUCGAAAUCUAUCACAAGCAAAACUUAUUACAUGCAUAUUUUUUUAAAAAAAUAUAAUAAAAAAAAUAUUGUAUUUGUUUACAUAUAUAUAUAUAUAUAUAUAUAUAUAUAUAUAUAUAUAUAUAUAUAUACAUAUAGAGAGAGAGAGAGAGUCCGGCUGGAAUACUAUCGAUAGCACGAAGCUUGGUCAUAUCAAGUUUUCUGCCCUAAGGGGUCCACAUCAUUCUAAUCAUAUAUUUUUUAAUUCAAUGAUAGAAAACUUACUAGCACCAAGUCAUUGGUACUAUUAAUAGUAUUCUAGUCUAGUUCUAUAUAUAUAUAUAUACUGCAGUAAUUAGAUUAUGAUAUAAUUUUACAAUUUUACUAUAUUUUUACAUACUUUUGCACUAAUUCUUUCUGACCCAACAACAUAAUAAUAUUAGAUAGCUUUCAAUACCAAUCAAGAGCUAAAAAUUGAAAUAUAUAGUUAUUUCGUCGGUCCGAAGGUUUUUGAAUCAUUCGCUAUUUCCUAAUUAUUGUAUAACGAGUGUUAUUUUAGAUGCUUUUUGUGGGAUCGGGAACGACACUCUUUAGUACAAAAAUUAUAUUGUCGAAUUGAGGAGAGAGUAAUACGACUUGUAUAUCUAAAAGUAAAUAUAAAUCUUAUAUCAUUUCAAUCGAAGAAUCCAUCGAACAAGUCUCAUCAUAUUAUUAUUUUUUAAUACUAAAAAUUAAAAAAAAUUGUCUAAACUAUUAAAUAAUUUAAUAAAUACAAAAUUUGUAUAUAGUUAACUUUUGAAUACAUAAAUAGCAUUUCUUUUGAAAUAAUGAGUAGCUAGUAUUAGCUAUGAUGCAAACAUAUGACUUAUACUAAAGCUUUAUUUUUUUUAUUAUUUUUUUAUAUAUAUUUUUCCAAAAAAUGAUUGGUAGAAUUGGCUGAAUGGGAGAUGGCAAAACAUCUCAUCCCCUCUCCAGCUGAGGCCUCCUUAUUGGUUCAUAAUUAUUUUUUUCUUUUAUUUCUUUUUUUUUUUAAAAGAUAGUAUUAUUUGUUUUAUAAAUAAAUUUAGUUAAAAAAAUAAAUUAACUAGAUUUCAAAUUUAAAACAUAAAAUAUCAACUAUUAAGCCUUUUUUUUUUCCUUUUAUUUAGGCUUCGUUCAUUUUUUUUUUUUUUUGUUCUUCUGAUAGUAUUGCUUUAGGGAGACAUACUAAUGAAAUGUACGAUCUAAGUAAAGUCCAUUUGUAAAUUAUUUAAGGGGUUUUUUAUUUUCACAAAGUGCAUCAAAAUGACUAGUCUUUAUUCACAAGAUUUCAAUCUCAACUAAUCUAAUUGACUUAAUUUAUUUAUUAACAUGUGUGAAACAUAAUUGAAAAAAAAAGAAAAUUGUUUUUAAGUAUUUCUUCGAUCCAACCGUACGAUUCUAUAGCUCUAAUUUGAAUGAUCAACUUGCGAACCAACAUAAAUUUGACCUCAAAAUCGACACGAAAUCAAACAUUAACUUAAUUCGAGGAUGAGUCAAUUAGGGCUGUUAAACCGUGCGGCUAUUCUACUAAACAAUUCUGAUCACGAAGCUGUUGAAAAUUUGGUACCGACUGUCCCUAGCGCAAGUGACAAAAGCGCUUGAUGGUUAGUACUCGAGACCCAAGUUCAAAUCCUAGUUGAUUCACAUUUCCAGUUAAGUUUAUUUCUAAAUGAAAUAAACGAAGCGGAUAGCAUGCUACCUUUCUCUCAAAAAAAUAAAGAAAAUUUGCUCUUAUCUGCGUCUACAGUUUCCGUAGCAAUAUCUCCCCACAAUGCGGAGUCCACAAUUUUUUUUUUUUCUUAUAAUGCAGAGUUAUCUGACUACUUCGUAUAUACAGUUCAAGAGCACUACAUAUAUUUGUCGAUGUAUCAACAAUCUAUAAAAAUAUUAUUUUUGAGGAGCUAAAACAUUUCCAAAUUCUAUACUGUCGAUCCCUCGCAAAGAGCCUGUCACAGGUAUUCUAGAUAGAAUUUGAAGACACCGUUCGAUGAAGUGCCCAAGAAGUUCGAGCGAAAGCCCAAUUUGGUGAUUAGCUCAUGGCACGAUCGUGACCUCGUAGACCGCAACUCAGAUAAUAACUACUCGGCUUAAUGACCCGAUUUGUUUAUACUUUAUACUAACUCAAAGUUGAAAUAAUAUUAACAAAAAAAUUUUUAUACUUUAUUAUUGUACUGGAGAAAAUACUCAACACACUAUCUCAUUUUUUGGGCUCAGGCCCAUCAAAGUAUAGGCCCAUUACGAGCUUGGGCCAAAUCGGAGUCGAGGUAGUAAGAGGAUCCGGAACUCGAUAUAUUUGAGUUGGUUUUAUGAAUAUACACCGUAAAUUGUUUGUUCUUAUAUUUAGUUACAUUUAGGUAUUUUUUAUCUCUAUAAAAUAUCCAUUUGCGUUGACCUCGAAUAAGUUUUUCCUAUUUAUACAAAAUAUGCAUCUCUCGGAGCAGUAACUCUAUCAGCAUGAAAGAUUUUAGCCGGAGUUCCCAAAAUUGUAUAGGAUGAUAAAAACACCAAUUCCAAUUUUAUUCAUAUACUUACCACUCAAAAGAGGGAGCUUUAUUCAUGUACAUAAUCAAAUAAAUGCCAAAGAACUAGCUAGGGCAAGAAAUCGUGCCCAGCUAUAAAGAAACUUCAAAAUAUUCUACUACCCUACAAGAUUUGGGUUCAAAGUGCGCUGCAUAUAUAUAGUACGCAGUCGACAAUUCUGUGUGGCAUAUAUAUCAUCUGUUGGCCGCGGCAGAACAGUUCAGUGCGUAGAAAUUUUUCAUUUAAUUGGUGGUGGGGACGAGGCGGGCCCUGAGAGGGUGCUUCAUGACGACGGUGAAUUGGGACUUCUCCGUCAAGUCGACGUCGUCCCCGUCGACCUUGGUCCACUGGAACUCCCUGACCAUGUUGGCGACGAAGUACUCCAAAUGCAGCAUGGCGACGUUGAUCCCCGCGCAGAUCCUCCGCCCCGCCCCGAAAGGCAUCAUCUUUAUCUCCCUACUCCCCGUCACGUCCACGUCCGCGCCCUCGCCGCCCUCCAAGAACCUCUCGGGCCGGAACUCCAUGGGCGCCUCCCACGCCGCACCGUCGAGGCCCAUCUCCCCCACCAUGAAGUUGAGCGAGGCGUGCUUGGGAAUGGCGUAACCCCCGAGCUCCGCGUCCUCCUCCGCCGCCGCGUGCGGGAGCACGAAGUGCGCCGGGGAGUGGCGCCGGAGCCCCUCGAGCACCACCGCCUUGAGGUACGGCAUGCGCUGGAGCUCCUCCUCCCUCACCUCGCGCUCGUGGGCCGCUCCGUCGUCCCCGCCGCGCGCGCCCACCACCUGUUCGAUCUCGGCCCUGAGCCGGUCCUGCACGCGCGGGUUCCUCACCAGCUCGGCCAUGAUCCACUCGAGCGCCGUGGAGGUCGUGUCCGUGCCCGCGUUGAGGAACUCGGAGCAGAGCACCACCAUCUCGUCGUCGGUGAGCGCGCGGCCCCCUUCGUCCGGGAGCGUCAGCCCCAGCAGCGUGUCCACGUACGCGUGCGCGAAGCUCCCUUCGCUCUCGGGCGCGCCGCGGCCCCCUCGCCGCGCCUCGAUCAGCGGCACGUAGAUCCGCUUCUGGCGCCCCCGCAUCUCCAUCGCGGUCUCCCACCGCUUCCGGAACAGGCGCUUGGUGAUCCACGGCGCGAACGCGAAGAUGUUGAGGUCGUACAAAAGGAGCGACCUUUGCGCGUCCCCGAUCUCCUCCACGGCCUCCUCGUCGAGCUUCGCCCCGAAGCACAUGAGCACGAGCAGGGCGAACAUGGCGAACUGGAGGCGUCCCAUCACGGCGACGCUUCCGCCGCCCUCGGCGUCGGCGCGGAGCUUGGAGAGGAGGAGCCGGAGGACCCAGGAGCGCGCCGGCGCGAAGAGGACGAGGCGCGAGGGGUGGAGGGUCUCGGCGACGAGGUUGCGGCGGAGGAGGCGCCAGAGCGGGCCGUAGGGGGCGGAGGUGAUAUUGUGGCCGUCGGCGGAGAAGAUGCGCGCGGUGGGUAGGGGCGCGGGGCGGUCCGCGAACGCGGCGCCGCGCGCGACGAGGGCGCGGUGGGCGAGGUCGCGGUCGGAGACGAAGAUGAGGAGGCGCGACCCCACGCGCAGCGACACCACGGGCCCGUACCGCGCGUGGAGCUCGCGCAGGAGCGGCUCCACGUCCCUCAACGAGCGCCGCAGCCACAGCAGGUUCCCCAGCACCGGCACCGCCACCGGUCCCGGCGGAAGCGGAAGCUUCCGCUUCUGCUUCGCCGCAUCGCCGCAGCUGUAGCUGCUUCUGCGGCGGAGGAAGAAGAAGCCGACGAGUAGGGCGAGGAACAGGGUGAGGGCGACGAGGAGCCCAGGAUCCAUCGCUUGCUCAACUAAUUCCCCUGUGCUAUUGUGGUAUGUUGCUUACUUAAUUUGUAUGGCUUAAUGUUUGUUACAAGCAAGGGGUUUAUAUAGUCGACCAUAUAAUAAUAAAUUAAUAACGGGGGAUACGGUUUUUAUCUUGUUACGUUUUUUUGUUUUUAUUAUAUUUGUUCUUUAGUUCGCCAUGUAUCCAAAAAUCUACUCAAAAUUAAUAAUUAAAAUUAUUAUUAAGUUCAAUAAAAUUUAGUAAAAUUAAUUCCUAAUGAGUUUCUCUAUUCAAUUCGGGACUUUCUCCUAUCUAGACUAAGACGACGCGUUUUAUUGGAAGGAAUGCACAGCGAAGGUUCGUUGGUGUACUACAAACAAUGCCAAAAUGAAAAAAGCUUAGUAUUGAAGCUUCUUUCUAAAGCUGAUCGAUUUGCCGUGCUGAAUAGUAGAAACUGAGGGCUUAACGAAACAAUAUUGUUUUUUUUAAAAAAAAAAAAAUAGAUAGCAUGCUGCCUAUUUUAUUCAUUAACGAAACAAUAUUGUUGACCUGAGAUUCGUCUGAACUAUGUAUCCAUGAAUCAUGGACACUUCCAAGCUAAUUCUAUGCUUGACUUUUAUCAAUUCUUUUCUAUUACUGUUAUUAUAUAUAUAAAAAUAUAGAAAUAAAAUUUUCUUAAAAAUAUUGUACCAGUGUAAAGUUAUUGUAUUAUUCUUAUAUAAUUUGGCAGAUUUAAUGUUAAAUAAAUUUUAUUAGCGUAACUAUUACAAAAUAAAAACUCUUCUUUAUGGGUAUUAGAAUUAGUACGAAUUAUUUGUAAACAUCAUGCCUGUAGAGAUCCAAAAAAUUCAUUAUAUUAAACGCAACUCGAUGUCGUGAGUUUUUUAAAUACGCGCAGAGUUUGAAUCUCUGACCUCUCGAUGAGUUUCUAAAUAUCCGAGCGUGUUGAUUAUUUGGUAGAACUAAUGCCAAUUAGCUAAAGAAAAGUAAAUGUUCAACUUGGAACACUAUUGCAGAGAAUUCUCCAGUCAACUCGCCUCUUCCUUUAAACUGCGCGUGUUCUAGAAGCCCUAUAUACUAAUAUUAAUAUAAUUUAUAAUAAUAAUAAUAACAAGAGAAGAGAAGCUUUGGUGAAAGGUCAAACUUUGCUGCUUGUGACGCAGAUAGGGAGAGUUGAACGGAAGAAGAAUCCUAAUGUAAUGGAGAAGCCACAUGAUUAUCUCUAUCUAUAAAAUGGUAUUUUUAUCUAUAUCCGAAAUUCUAUGUAACUGAAGUUGAAAAGGUCUUUCAAAAAGUCCUUGUUUUGUGAUCUUAUAGAGAUAUAAAUACCAUCUCAAUCUCAAAUCCAAUAACUAUUUCUGAACUAGUAUUUUUCUGUUCAGAUAUCUCACAUGCUAUAUAAUUUUUGGUUUUUCAACUGAUGUAAGUAACUGUUUAUAAUUAUUUUCUCAAACAAAAUGCCAAAUAAAAACAUGCAUGAUUCAGAAACCAAGAUAAUUAGGAUCUUCUUUUUUUUUUAUCGGGGAGAGUUUUUUACUCCACCCGAACACCAGGUAAAUGCGUGAUGUUACACUGCCUCCGAAGCAAACUAUUACCUCUAAAGCAUUAUUACACCAUUAAUUCUAUUAAUAAGAAAGUGAUUUGGUCGACGAAAUGUAUUCAUAAAAGUACAAGCUAUACAAACCAUUUUGAGGAAUUCAUCCGCAUACAUAAUAAUACAUGGGCAACACAGCGUAAAAAUGACUACAAAUACCUUCCAUUUUAAGAACACACGGCUCUCAUACCCACUACAGAUUAGUCCCCAAUCCUCAAAGCAGCAGCAUGGCCAUAUAGCUCGGAGUAAACCAACACCCACAACACAAACAAACACAAACUUCCUUAAGGAUUUUACAGAGCAAGACCACUUCAUGACCUAUUCCGAUCUAAUUUAUUUACAUUAGUGACCCUAAGAUUACAAAGCAAAGCGUCGCGCCCACUCAGGACGAUCUGGAAGAAGUCCCCAACUCGCUUCGAGAGUGAAUCUAACCCAUGUCUUAACUUAUCGACACUAUCAACCGUAUCAGAAAUGCACUCCAUCGGAUUAUCUUUCUCCUCCUGCUGUUCGGUAUUUUUCUCCGCUUUGACCACUUCUCUCUCAUGGAUAAAGCCAUUUAUUUGUUCUUCAGCCAAUUCCUCACAGCCAAAAGCACUGGUCCAUUCAUGCAACCUCUUUGCACAUGAUUCGGCUUCUUCCAUCUCUUUCACCGCAGUAUGUUUUCCGCUGGGAAAUCUCCUCCUAACUUCCUCAUUAACUGCUGUUUGCAACUCGUUGAAGGCCUCGGACCACAAGAACUCGUCUGGAACUUGCAAUUCCAUCAAAGGUUGUGGGCUACCUAAGAAAGCCGCCGCAAAGAAACUGCAUAUUAAUAUAGUCACAGCCUUAACUCCAUACAAAGCUCUCAGAAGUACUCUCCCUUUGGCCGAGUUCUUAACCUUUGUCAGGUGCAAACUACCCGCAAGAGACUGUAAAAUGGUUGAACAGUUCUCAAGCUUGGGACUCCUCAAGUUAGCUUUCUUCAAAUAAUCGUGGAGCGAGGCAUGGGCUUCUUGGAGCUGUUCAGCUGUUGGAGAAGUGCUUUUUCGGUCCAAAACGUGAAGCACGUAUUGGAGCAGAAGCUGGCCCUGAUCCAACCGGGCCAGCUCGGAGCUUAGAGCAAGGCAAAUGUCGAGCAACUUCAAGCUGCUAUCUAAGUAUGUAUCGAUCCACUUCUCGUCCCAAUCAGAAACGGGGAGCUGGAGUUCGGUUAUUAAGGCUUCAAUACUAGUGUGGGCUUCUGAUAAGCACUCAAUAGCAUGACUCAUCCAGCAUAAAGUGAAGACAUCUGAGGUAUCCUUUGGCUUUAAUUUUUUCAAGCUCAAAGAAAGUGCUUCUUCGAAGUUGUUCAACAGCGGCUGAAGCUUUCGAGAGAGAUGAGAUCCUUUAUUAGGGAGUAUUGAACGAAAGGGAUUCCCAAAGGGAAGAAAGUUCCGCUGCCCGUCAUGUGGACGACUCAUUUUCAGCUGCUGAAGAAAAAGAGAAGUUAUUCAUUAGCACAAAAGACUAACUGUAGUAUGUUAAGGUACCAUGCAAAGAAUCAGCACUCUGUAAACUAUAAAGCUCAGAUCAUUGACUUUGCUAAAGAGAGACGAAACAAGUAAUAUAGCAAAACUCACUUAAAUAAUAGAUAAGAUAAAAUAAAUAAAUAAUGGGUGUAUAAAAAAAAAAAGUUAGAAUUUGAAACUUAAGGAUUGCAGAAAAGCUUUUGGACUGCUUUCAGAAAUUUUUGGCAUUGCAUACAUAGAAAUAAUCGAGAUGAAUAGCUUUUGGCUGCACAAAAGCUCUCUCACAAAAUGCCACAAAUCAAUUUGGCACAAAAAAUCUCUGAACUGAGCUAAGACAAUCGAAAAGGUACUUUUAAGAGAGAUCGCAUUGUUUCUGCAAUCCCUUGUGGUUCAAUCAAGGAAAGCACAAAUUAGUAGUGAAUAUGUGCUCCCAGCUCUUGGAAAUGAAGACAUUUCAAGGUAAAGAUAUCCAAACUCCCUAACUUUACUAUUAAAAUCGCACGAACCAAAUCUACACCGCUACACCAACUUAUAAGAUCGAUUUAACGUGCUGUGUACUUCCUUCAUUUCUUCAUUAUAUGAGGUAAAUUACAAGACAAUCACGAGAUUUCUAGAACAAUAAUCCAUAUCGAUCCAAUUUAUCUACACCACUCUCAAGUUUCUGUCUUACUUCUCUAUUGCCUCUUCUAUACAUUAUGAAGAUAAACAAAAGCGUAAAGUAAAUCCACAUUCUGCAAAAUUGUUUAGUAUUGGACCUUUAUAUAUUAGGUAUUUGUGGCAUUUGGUUGCACCAAAUUUCCAUCCCUCGGCUGCCUAACAUCAACACAGUACAUUAACUCAAGCAAUAUAACUUAGCUGUCAUUUAGGUAUCCUUCUCAUCAUCUAUCAUCUACAUAGAAUAACCCUCCAAAACAAAUCCAAAGAUCUAUGAACCACAAUUAACAAAUAUACCUAUAUGCCGCUCAUGCAAUUUCACAAUCAUUAAUUACGCGUGUUAAAUUGGAUCUUCUCCUACCCAAUCACUUAAGAUUGUAGCACUUCAUGGAACUCUAGAUCCUUAGGUAUUCCCCCCCUCACAAUAGAAAAUUAAUAUGAAAGAUUAGGUGGAUCUGGACUUCUUCACAUAGCAACUUGGAUCUCCAAAAAGAGGACUAAAACAACAACCUCAAAGCAAUAGAUCUAACAAAUAAGAGUACUAUAGCAUCAAAAUAUACCAGUAUAAGGAAAAAAUAGCCGAUUCUGAAAAGAAUAACAAGCAGAUGCAAAAUAAAAAAACAAUUACCCAGAAAAAACUUAAUACGCAAAUAGGACUUGAAGAAACAAAAAACCCAGAUCUAAGCCAACAACCAACAACCAACAAAAGCUCCACCAAAGAACCCCAAAAAAACCUCUUUUUAACAACAAAUCCGUAAUUAGAUAGUCAUAAACCCCAAAAUAGAUGAAAAAUUGGACGAAACAUUACUAGGAUUAUGAAUUAAAGAAGGCAAUAGAUCUAGCACAUAAAACCAAUCUAGCAUAAAAAAAAUAUACAAGUAUAAACCAAGAACAGCCGAUUCUGAAGAGGACAGCAAAAAGAUGCAACUUAAUAAACAAUUACCCUGCAAAAAUCUAUUGCUAGAAGAGCGAUCCAAAAAACCCUCAAAUCUAAACCAAAACCAACAAAAGCUCCAUCAUAUAUCCCCCAAAACCCCUUUUUUCACCACAAAUCCCAAAUCAGAUAGCCCUAAAACCCAAAAUAUAUGAGAAAUCGCGCGAAUGACGAGGGAUUCUUACCUCGAGAGAAAGGGGGAACGUAAAUUGCAGAGGAAAUCAAAGUCGCAGCACCAAACACCACACUACGAUACAAAUGAGGCAACGUUCGCUACGAUGACCAAUUUACCAAGCCCUAAUCGAAAGGGACUAGAAAUUUCCCGACGCGUUUUGUGGACCGUUGAAAUAAUCAAAUUUUAAUUUAAUCCAACGAUCGAGAUCGUGAGCUGGCGUUGCUGACACAGGAAACACUCGUACGCACCUUCCCUCCGUGCGACACGUGUUCGAAUCACAUGACUCGGAGUACCUUCUAAGCCCGUGAAAACUUCGCGGACGUGAAACUCGUAACGUGCGCUAGUUAAGAGCAAUUUUCGGUUCCGCGUAAUUGGGGGGCCCCACAGGGAGACUUUCAUGUCAACAGCGUGGAUGGAUAGAGUCGUGCCGACUAGCUCUCUCUCUCUCUCUCUCUCUCUCUCUCUCUCUCUCUAUUACAAAAUGAAAAGUACAUAGUAUUCGAUAUUUUCAAUUUUUUUGAUUUUUAAAUUAAAAAUCGUACAGUUAGAAUAAUUACGAUCUUUUGUCAAAGAACCUACUAGAUUGAGUAAUUGAGUGGUCUUCACUGAAUAAUAAUAUUAAUUUAAAAAUUAAAAAUAAUUAUAAAAUUUAAUUUAAAGGUUAAAAAAUUAAAAAUAUCAGGUUCUCUAUACUUCCCGAUGGUAUAAUAAUUUUACUGUAUAUAAAGAGAGAGAAAAAAAAGAUAGGAACAUGCUAGAAUACUAUCGGUAACUAUCGAUUUAUUUUCGAUGCUAGAUCUUUUAAAUUGACGAUCGGUACCAUUAAAUAAGAUCUAAAUUAUUUAAACUAUCUAAAUAUAAAUUUUACACUUUUUCGAUAUUUUUCUCUUGUCCAUCAAGUGAAAAAAAAAUGAAUGGCUAAAAAUAAAUAUCUUUUUAAAAAAUAAUUAUAUAAUUUUUGUAUUUAAGAUCUACCGUCUAGAUCUUAUUUUCAAUAGUUUAAAAAAAUUUUAAUAAAAUUUAACUGAUUUGAAUUUUUUUAUAUCGUUAAACAAACAAACUCACUAUAUCGACCAUUAAAAUUACAAAUUUCGUGACCCUUUGAUCAUUCGGCCAUUGACGUCAAAAUAGUAUCAAAUUUAAUUUCUAAAUAGUUUAAAUCAUCUAGAUCAUAUUUAACGGUACCGAUUGUUAAUUUGGAAACUUUAUCAUCAAAAACAAAUCGGCAGUUUGGCGAGCCAUUUACUACUGAUAGUAGCCCAAUUAAGCUCUCUUUCUCUCUCUCUCUCUCUCUCAAUAUAUAUAUAUUAUAUUUAGAAUUUGAUUAAAAAAUUAAUUUGAAAUUAAAAAAUAAUUGUAAAAAAAUAUAUUAUGAUAGCAUUAAAGAAAAUAAAUAAAAAAAAAUAAAGAAACAGCUAAAACACUAUUACUAGGGCUCUCAAUAUGUUAACCAUGUCGGCCCAAUUGGGCUUAUGCUUCCAACUAAGGCCCACGGCCCGGGAUUGAGAAAUUCAAAUAAUUUUUCAAUUAAAAUCUCCCCAAUAAAUAUAACCAGCUAAAUAAAUAGAAACUUUGAAAACUGUUUGGUUAUAUAUAUAGAGGUAUUUUUUUGCUAUCAAGUUUUUAAUUCUUAAAUGAGAAAUUUGAGGGUUAAGAUGAUAUUAGUCCCUUAAAAUUGAGUGGUCCCCCUAGGAUUGAGUGAUUCCCACUGGGUUAUAAUAUUUAAUCCAAUGGUUAGAAACGAUAAAAGCAAUUGAUCCCAAGGCUAAAAAUUUGAAAGCAAAAAAGGCCUUUUGCUAUUAAUAGUUUUCUAGUCCAACUCUCUCUCUCUCUCUCUCUCUCUCUCUAUAUAUAUAUAUAGUUAUAAUUACACUACAGUUGUAACUAUUUUGAUGCAUUUGAAUCUAAUAGCUGUAGUUGGGAUUGUCUGCAUGAGGAGGUUCAGGUACGUACGGCAGUUAGAACCACACCUAAAUUAAUCAUAAUUUUAACUACAGUAGUUAGAGCAAGUAAUUUUAAAUAAAAGACAAACUUACCUUCUUAUUUACUUUUUUUAAAUUAAAAUUACUUCUAUUAGCCGGACUAAUUUGUUAAAUUAGGCCAUCAACUAGCGGGGGUGGAGGAAUCCGGUGAGGUCGUCAGGGUCGGCGGUGGCUGCAGAAAAUACGCAAAGAUACGGAUAUAUCUUGUGGGACUGACUGCAGGUGCGAUUGUCGGGGCCACAACGUACACCGCUAUCAAGUCGGACGACGAGGACGAAGGGUCACAGCAUCCAGCAUGAAGCUUUCGACGAUAAACCGUGUCCGAAAUUGAAAUCGAAUUGAAAUAAUAUCCCCUUUAUGACUUACGAAACGUUGGAAUUUAAUUCUAUAAAUGAAUGUAAAACGACUGUGAAUAAUGUUUUACUCAAGCAUGAAUACUUAUAAUUAUCAUUGUAUGCAGUGCGGGGUAACAACAAUGUAUCAUGAUCUUUGAUGUGGUGGAGUUCAUGCAAUAAUUCCUCUCAACAACUAAGUCACUGGUCAAAUUUGUAUAAUAUACGAUUGAUCAUAAAUAUAUGCUUACUAUACCAGUACCUCUCAUUGUGAAAUGACAAAACGUAUUAAAUACUUGAUAACUUUUCCAUAUAUAUAUAUAAUAUACGAUUGAUCGUAAAUAUAUGCUUACUAUACUAAUACUUCUCAACGGUUAAAAAUUUAUAAGUAUAAGAGGAUCUACACUCAUAAGAGUAUAAUAACCCCAUCCAUAUAUAUAUAUAUAUACACACAACGAUCACACUCUUAAAUUGACAAGCUUGUAACUGAAUACAAUUGAGAAGUUAAAUAUCAAGUAUAUGCAUAUGAUUUCUUGUCGUUUUGGAAUUUCUUUCUUUUUUUUUGUCCCAAAAUUGUAGUUGGUGUGAUCGAACAUCCGUCAAUUUGUUAAUUAAAUUGGAUGGAUAUAUGCACCUAACUAACUUACUAAAGCAAUAACAUGGUGACAGAAUAUCCCUGGGAUUAGUUCAUUGAUCUUAAUUAACACAAAUUACAGCCACAAGGUGAUGUUAUGUAUAUCUAAAUGCGGUAAAUAUUUUCCAAAAAAAACAUAAUAUUAGACAAAUUUCAAUAUUAGUAUAUGAGUUUUUAAGUAAAUUUUAAUUUGAUUCAAAAAAUUUCAAGUUGAGCGAUCGAACCAAAUUUUCAAAAGUGUCUCGCUCCACUUGGUCGUUGGCAUCGCUUCUAGUUAAUGGAGAAAAAAUUAUCAGCCCUUCAUCCAUCUCGUACUUUUAAUCCAACUAUUUAUUUUCUAAAUAAAAAGAGAGUUACAAUUUUAUAAUUCCGGGUAAAUUCUAAACCUGUGUUAGAAGUAUAUAUAUUCUUAUAUUAUGGCCUAGUUUUAGCAUGCAUGCAUUUUCAAAAUAUUGUUUUUUUAUUUUUGGAUAACAUCUCCCAAAAAAAUUUUCAUAGAAAAGUAUUUGUUCUUUGUGGAAAUUAACUAGCUGUUUGAAAAAUUAGCUAUAUUUAUUUGGAAAGUAUAUAGUGUGUGUGUAUAUAUAUAGAACUAUAUAGAGAGAGAGAGAGAGAGUCCGGCUGGGAUAUUAUUGAUAACACCAAGGGCUUAGUAAUAUCGAGUUUUCUACCGUUAAAUUUAACCCUUUAAUUAUUUUUACUCGUUGGAUUAUACCAUUCAACCAACAACCCACUCAACUCCAAGAUGCCCACAUCAUCCUAACUGCACAUUUCUCAAUGCAAGAGCUAAAAAAUUAAUAGCACCAAUAAUUUAAUAUUAUUGAUAGUAUUCCAGCCAAGUUCUAUAUAUAUAUAUAUGAGUUCGGCUAUUAUAUUUUUUAUGAGUACGAUUGUCUUCGUACUCAUAAGUUAUUUUUGAUGAUAGAGAUUCUGAAUAGACGAUCUAUAUCGUUAAAUAUUCUAGAAAGUAAAUUUUAUAAUUUUUUGACAUUAUUUACCUUACGAUCAACGGCCGGUAUGAAAUACUUGUUAAUUUAAAAGUGUAAAAAAAUCUAANUUCUAGAAAGUAAAUUUUAUAAUUUUUUGACAUUAUUUACCUUACGAUCAACGGCCGGUAUGAAAUACUUGUUAAUUUAAAAGUGUAAAAAAAUCUAAAUUGGUUGAAAUUUUAAUAAAAAAUUCUAUUCACUAUUUAGAUAAAAGUCAAUAACUCCGAUCUUAAAUUAAAGUAUCCGAUCCUCUAUUUUUAAGAAGUGGUUUGAUUUUGACCGUUCAUUUUAUAUCUAUUUGAUAAUAUCGAAUAUAUGUAAUAUUUGAUUUCAGAAUACUCAAGUAGUAUACAUUAUGCUCAAUGAUGCGGAUUGUCAAUUUGAAAGCUCUAUCAUUAAACACAUACUAUAAUACGUAGAAAGCUCUGCUAUACUUAUUAAGUAUAUUAACCUUACUCUCCUCUCUAUUAAUAUAUAUAAUUAAUGAACCGUUUUCGUAAAAAGGCAUCUAUAUAGCUAAUAGUUUACCACUUCAACUUGGUUUUACAUUCUAAUUCAUAUCAUACAACUGAGCGUGUAUCCCGGUUAACUAAGGAUCGAUAAUUGUAUUCCAAAUAUCAAUUCGAAGUUAAAUAUUUAUAUUUUUAAUUGAGUUCAAUUCUAAAAAAAAAAAAAAAAAAAACGGUGUGUAUAUCUAUAUCUAUAUUACUAUAUAUAAAAGCGUAUAGAAAUUCCGAUAAUGACAGACGAAAUCUAAAAAAAAAUAAAAUAAUAUUCUUACCAAAAAGAAUAAAAAAUAUUCCCUACGAAUGGUUAUGAUUAAUUUGUUAAAAAAAUAUCUCAAAUAAGAACAUGCAUGAUCAAUUUAUUAAAAAUACAUUCAUAUCCAUCUAUAAAUUCAAUCAUAUUAAUGAUUAUAAUCAAUUUGUUAAAAAUAUCUCAAAUAAAAACAAAUGUUAUGAUCAAUUUUUUAUAAAAAAUACGAUUCCUAUUUAUCUAUUUUACAUUAAAAUUAAAAUUUGAGUUUAAAUUAUGAAUUAAAUUUAAUUUUUGAUAUCAAAUCUGAAUUAACAAUUAAUUUUUUUAUUACAGUGGAUCAAAAUUAAAAUUUAAAUUUUAAAGUAAAUGUGAAUUAAAUUUUGAUGCUUUUAGUUCAAAACACAUAUUUAAAUUUGAUUAAUAAAAAAUCAAAAAAUAUAUAAAAAUGUUCGAUGUAUAUAAAAAAAAGAAUAUUGUAGGAUAUUGUAAAUAUUUUCUAAUAAAAUAUAACUUAUUAAAUUAUAAAUAUAAUUUUUAUUGUAAGAUUUUAAAUAUAUAUAAUGUACAAAUUUAUAUUGAUUUAAUAAAUUAUAAUAAUUGUUACGUUCACUUACACGUAUAUUCAACUAGUAUAUAUAAAAGUCCAAGUACAACAACCAUUGAUUAAAAAAAAAAAAAUUUUACCCUCACCUGCCAACCAACUCUAAUUGUGGUUUGGCUCUAUUAUUAAAAAGAGCCAAACAAAUAUUAAAAAGCACAUGUUUCUACUUGCUUGUUCUCGUUUCCUACGCAAGGACCGCUCCACGAGGUUACUUAAGAACGCGGCGCAUAAUCAAAUCGUCUAUGGGCGCGUCCCCACCAAAUUUAUGUGCGUCGACCAGUACCAAACCUACCUUAUACCAGAAAUUAUUGAGCGGACCCGGUCCACUUAUUCCACCACGUCACCGGUACACCGAGUAGCUAGUAAAUCAAAGAAAGGGAAAACUUCAAAUACCACUCCUGUAAUGUCCUGUAAUUUUAUUUUUAUCUUUUAUUAUCAAUUUCACUAAUUUUUUUUGUUGAAUCAAUGAUAAAAUUAAAACUAAAGAGUACUUAAGUAAAUAUUUGAUAAAUCUAGAUAGGAUAUCUAAAGUUUUCUAUAUAAUUUAAUAAAGUAUUAACGAAAAAGCUAACGAAAAAAUAAAAAUGAAAUCACAUGACGCUAACUUGAUACACUUUAAACCACAGAGUACUAAAAUGAGAAAGUCUGAAACCACACGAAUGAUAAUUGAAGUUUACCAUUAAAAAAUAUAUAUAUAUAUCCUUAUAUUUCCGCAACUAUGGGGUAUCAUUCUAAAUAGUGUAGAGUUAUUAUGUUUCUAAAAAUUGAAAUUUCUCAGAUAAAAAAUUAUAGAGUUAGUAUGAUAGUAAUCUUUCCAAGAGUUUAGUAAUAGUCUCUUUGAGAGAAUAAUAUUAACCAAGAAUUAGAAAUGGUCAAAAAAAUUGAUUAAAAAAAUUAAAAAAUUAGAAGCACUGCAUAAGUGGUGCUUCCGGAAGCAUUAUAUAUAGUUGGAUUCCUCUAAAUAUAAAAAAUAUUAUAAAAUAUUAUAAAUUUAUUACUGCUCAUCAAUUGUCUUAAAAAUUUUAAUAGUUUUCUGAUAAUUUUUUAUUUCUAAUGUUGAUAUUUUAUUACGCAUGUCAUGUUGUGCAAAUCGUAAAACAGUAAACUUUUCGAAUAUCUUGCUAAAUAUUAUACUCUUUACUGAUAGAAUUAUCUUAAUGAUAAAAAAUAACAAAUAUUAACGACGUUAUGAUAUUCUAAAAUUCUAGAAUAAUAAAUUAAAGUAUUAUAAUUUCAUAGGAACAAAUCAGUAAUGUCUAAACUUUUUGUAUACAUAUCCAAAUUUAAAAUAUAUACAUAAAAUAUUCAUUUCAUAAUUGCUUCAAAUUAAAAUGGUCCACGGCUGACGUGGCGGACCAAAUCCACCCACACUGCAUCCUCCCUUGCACGUGCCAAGGCGUGGAGGCCACGUGCGUUCCGGGAGUACAUCCAACUCUAAUUAAUAAUACAGUUAAAUUACAGAAAAAUUUUCUAUAAAUAUUCGUGUUUUUACUUUUUCUUUCAAACUUUUAAAAAUCUAUCUUUUACUCUUUUAAAAUUUUAAAAAUAUUUUCAAAGGAGUAAAGUGUUAAUAAAGAGAGCAAAAUGACCAAAUAAUUUUUUAUUCUUCUAUAAAAAAAAAUAACUUUCUGAUAUAUUUCUGUCAUUUUAAAAGAUAUUUUCAGUAUAAAUUAUAAAAAUGGAUGCAAUAGUGAUCGAAUCCUGACAAAGGGAAACUAAAUACAAUAACUUGAAAUUUUAAGACAAAAAAAUAUAGAUUUUUAAAAGUCAGAAAGUAAAAGUGAAAAAACGAUUAUUUACAGAAGAUUUUCUAUAAUUUAGUCUAAUAAUAAUAAUAUAAUAAUAAUAACAGUAUUACUAAGGAAAGGAACAGAAAACCAGCUGCAUUCAAUUCAAUGCCUACGCUGGUGACAAGCCCCCCCCCCAAAAAAGAAUAUGUGAUCAUCUUUUUUAGUUAUAUAUAUAUAUAGAAGAGGAGCUAGAAUUAGAAGGAGAGGGAGAUGGAGGAGGGAUUGGAGAGUGAGGUGGGGGAGGUGAGAGGGGCGUUUGAGAGUGGGAGAACGAGGAGCUUAUCAUGGAGAAGAUCACAACUCAGAGCACUUCUAAAGCUUCUGAAAGAUGAAGAAGAUGAUAUUUUUAAGGCCCUUAAAGAAGAUGUGGGGAAGCACCAUGUUGAAGCGUUUAGAGAUGAGGUGAGGAGUUUAAUUACUUCUUAAAUAUAUAUUAAUUUUCUUCUUCUUUUUUUCAUAUUAAUUUGUGUUUAAGCAUAUACAUACAUAUAUGCAUACUUUCAUUUAUGUUUAAUUAACUUAACUUUGGAUCUUUAAUAAAUUCCAUGAUUUUUUAGGUGGGUGUUCUUAUCAAGUCCAUUGACUUUGCUCUAGGAGAAAUUAAACGAUGGAUGGCUCCUCAAAGGGUUACUCUCUCUCUCUCUCUCUCUCCAUCAAAUGAUAAAAAAUUUUAUGAAAAAUUUUUGUACAGUGGAAUUAUAUAAAAAACAUAAUCAAUUUAGUAAUGGGAAUGAUAUAGUAAUUAUUUUAACAAAUUUGUUACUUUCAUUUUUUAGAGAAUGUAUAUAUUAUUUUACGAGAAUUAAAGUACAGGUGUGGGUGCCAUUGGUAGCAUUUCCGACUACUGCGGAGGUGGUGCCGGAGCCGCUUGGGGUCGUGCUUAUAUUUUCGUGCUGGAAUUUCCCCUUGAGUUAGUAGUCACAUUAUUGAUUAUCCUUCAUCUCUUUUUUUAUUAUUCUUUUUAAUUUUUUCCCUUCAUAUAUUUUAUUACAUAAGGACAUUUUUUUAACAAACUAAUUAAUUCUUAUAGUACUUAAUUAGUACAGUAAAUAAAUUCAAUAAUUGCCUAUUAUUUUUUGACGUUGUAAAUUAUAUUUAUCUUUUAGCUUGUAAUUUACACUGUCCUGCCAAUUAAAUGCGCGCUCGUGAUCAUAUUUUCAUAUUUGUAGAAUGCUAUAAAAUUAUGUUUUGCUAUCUGUUCUAUGAAAUGUUUCAUUAAAUUCCGCUAUGAAGGUUAGAGUAUUACUUACUAAAUCUCAAAUACAAUUAUUAAAUCUUAAGUUCAAUCAUUAUAUUCUAAAUUUUAAGUAUUAAUCUGUUCAUGUGUAUAUAUAUAUAUAUAUAUAUAUAUAUAUAUAUAUAUAGAACUAGGUUAGAAUACUAUCAAUAGCGCCAAGCUAUUGGUGCUAUUAAUUUUUUAACCUUUGGAUUGAGAAAUGAAUGAUUAGGAUGAUAUGGGCCCUCUGGGGUUGAGUGAGUGGUUGGUUGAAUAGUAUAAUCUGACGGAUAAAAAUAAUCAAAGAGUUAAAUCUAACGGUGAAAAAUUCGAUAGUAUCAAACCCUUGGUGCUAUCGAUAGUACCCCAGCCGGACUCUAUAGAUAUAUAUAUGAAUAUAUUAAUAAUAUAAUAGGGUAUUCAAAAAUAAAAUUUCUCGUACAGAAAAGGACAUGCAGCUGCUAACUUCUCAAUUAAUUACUUCUCACAUUUUAAUUCCAUGUCCUUGCAUGUGAAUCUAUAGUUCGUAUCGUCGGGUACUGCAGAAAAAUAAGUUGCAGAUAAAUUUGCUGUACUCUUGCACUCUCUCACUAGUGAAUUUCGUUGUGGCUCACCAGUAGUAUAGUUAGUAGGGAUCCAAUCCUCACGGGAUGCAUGAGGGGGCCUACGUUCCCUGGCACACAAACACAUGCGCGCGCGCGCACACACAAGUUCAAGUUACCAACUUGGCCACUUGUGUGAUCAUUUAAUCGGUGUCAUUAAUACGUAACAGAUAAUAAUAAUAAUAAUAAUAAUAAUAAUAAUAAUAAUAAUAAUAAUGCAUGCUAGGGUACGUCAUUUUCUCAUUUUUCCCCUCCUCUUGUGAUUUUUACUAUUAAUUUUCACUCGGUCAAAACGUUCUCUCUCCUCCUCUGAUGUAAACAUGCUCAUUCAUUGGGUACACCAAAAAUUCCUGCUGCUCGUGUCAGGUUUGAAUCAUCAUUUAUGGUGUAGCUUCAAAUGAGAAAUAUUAUUUGUGCAUCGAAAAAUAAUAUAUAAUCUCACACUCAUAUAUACAUUAAAGAAAAUUAAUUUUUUUAGAUUUUAAUAUUUUGAAAAGCUGAUAGUUUAAGUAUUAAAAUAUUGAUUCUUAUGUAAAUAAAAUAUAAAAUUUAUGCACACUUUUCUGNUGAGAAAUAGGUAGUACACUACUCGCUUCGUUUAUUUUAUUUAGAAAUAAACUUAGCUAGAAAUGUGAAUCAAUAAGGAUUUGAAUUUGAGACCUCAGGUACCGGCCAUCAAGCCUUUGCCACUUGCGCUAAGGACAUUCUAAGUACAUAUAUAAAUGAUGAGCCUCAGGAUGUUUGGAACUGCUGACAUUAUAGUCAGAGUCCAAGUACCUAACCAUUAGAUCAUACAAUAAAUUUUUUUAAAUGAAUUUUAAUAUUAAAAAAAUCAAUCGAUCCCCAAAAGCGUUGGAAGUGUAAUUUUUUCUAAUACUAAUUAUUAGAAUUGAUACUUAUACUAAUACCGAUUAUAUAAUUCAGGAUCUGAAAUAGAACAAAAUAAUAUAGAAAAGAGUUAUUAGAGGAGGAAGAAGGUAACUAAAUUAAUAUUUUAUUAAUUACACCCUUAGUCUUAUGCAGUUAUAUCUAUUGUGAUUGAUUCAUCUAAUUAACCCAUGCCUGGAUAUAUAUAUAUGAGUCCAGCUAUGGUGCUUGUAAAAGCACCAAGCACUUGGUGCUUAUAAGUUUUUUACCGUUAAAUUUACUUCUCGGAUCAUUUUCAACCAUUAGAUUAUACUAUUCAACCAAUCACCCACUCAACCCUAGGGGUCCCACACCAUCCUAGCCACAUAUCUCUUAAUCCAAUGGCUAAAAAUCUACAAGCACUAAUAACUUGAUACUUUUAAAAGUAUAGAAGCUCAAUUAUAUAUAUAUAUAUAUACACGAGUGAGGCUACUAUGCUAUCGGAAGCACGGAGCCUUCCGUGCUUCCGGCUCGUUUUCGAUGUUGCGAUUUUUGAAUCGUUGAUCAGCUCCAUUAAACUUGAUCUAGAGUAUUUGGAGUACCUAGAAAAUAAAUUUUAUUAUUUUUCGAUAUCAUUUGUCUAGUGAUCAAAUGAGCUCAAAAUCAACAAAUUUCAAUGACCGUAGUGAGUCGUUUGCAAGUUUAAUAGUGUAGAAAUAUUCAAAUCACGUGAAAUUUUGGUAGAAAAUUCUNAAAUUUUGAUAGAAAAUUCUUUAUACUAUAUAAAACAAAAUCAAUAUCUUUGAUUUAAAAUUUUAAUGUCAUAUUAUUACAUUUUGUAAGAUUUUUAUUUUCAGCCGUUGAUUUUGAGCCCCUUCGUUCACUAGGCAAAUGAUAUCGUAAAAUCAUAAAAUUUAUUUUUUAGGUACUUCAAAUACUCUAGAUCAAGUUUAACGGAGCUGAUCAACGAUUCGAAAGCCGCAACAUCGAAAACGAGUUGGAAGCACGGAAGGCUCCGUGCUUCCGAUAGCAUAGUAGCCUCACUCAUAUAUAUAUAUAUAUAUAUAUAUAUAUAUAUAUAUAUAUGACAAAUCUAACUUUUAUUUUGCAUAAUUAUAAAUCCUAUUCUAAAACUUUCAAAUAUAAUCCAUGUAUAAUUUGAGUAAACUCUAUCUCGAACUAAAUUUUAAAUUAAGUUUGGAUAACUAUUUCCUACAAAAAUAGUACCAAAAAAAGAUACAAAUGUCUAAAACUUUCAAAUAUAAUCCAUGUAUAAUUUGAGUAAACUCUAUCUCUAACUAAAUUUUAAAUUAAGUUUGGAUAACUAUUUCCUACAAAAAUAGUACCAAAAAAAGAUACAAAUGUUUAGAGACCGCCUCAACUAUAGACUUUUGAUAUGACCUCCUCAGCUAAUUGUUUGAUAAAGGCCUCCUCAACUUCAAAUUUUUUUAAUUUGAUUUUCAUGCUCAAUUAAGUUAAAAUGUUAUUAAAUUUAAUAACUCUAUUACUUAUUAAAAUUUUCAAACUUUUUUUAAAUAUUUUUUUAAAAUUUUUUGACUAAAAUUACUUGAUUCCAUAAAUUAGAAGUUGAAGGCAUCUCAAUUUUUUUAAAAAAAUGUUGAGAUGUCAAUUUCAAAAAUCUGGAAGAGAUCAUCAUGCAUGUCGCAAAGAAGCCACUAAUUUUUGUUGUUUGCAUGCUAAACUUAUGUAUUCUUGGCUCCUCUACAGCCCAAUAUCAAAAAAACGACAUCUUAAUUGCCAUCUAGGAUUAACCACCUCUUUGACUUUAUUAUAUGCACAUUUUUUUUCUCUCUUUUUUUUUUUUUUAUUCAACUUGAUUUGCAUAUGUAUAACAACCUUUUGUAGACUUGUCAUUGGAGCCGCUGAUCGGCGCGAUUUGUGCCGGAAAUGGUGUAGUUUUGAAGCCCUCCGAACUCGCCCCGGCGACGUCGCAGUUUCUUGCAUGUAACAUACCAAAGUAUUUGGACAGCAAAGCUGUUAAGGUUGUCCAGGGAGGUGCAGAAGUAGGACAGCAACUCUUGGAGCUGAAAUGGGACAAGAUCUUCUUCACUGGUUGGUUCAACAUACAUAGAUUCUCUUUAUUCCUAAGGUUUACACAAACAUUUAAUACAUAUAUAUAUAUAUAUUUGUUGUCGCGGCUGUUGAAUAUAUAAAUAUUAAAAACAUCUUUCUCUAUAAGCCUAAGCUAUUGCAGAUAAACGGUUGUUUCAUAUAAUUUAACAUAGUAUUAAAGUCGGAGGUACUGAGUUCGAAUCCUUUCUAAUAGCUUAAUCUAUUGGAGAAUAACGAUUGUUUCACACUCAUUAAUAGUAGGAUGCUCUGUUCAAACACUAUGCAUCAAUCGUAUUGCGCUCAAACAUAUAUAGAGCACUGUUUAUGUCGAAAACCUCCGGCCUGGUUUUGCUGAUCAAAUAUGUUCAGGAGGUCGCCGGGUCGGACAAAUUGUGAUGACUGCAGCUGCGAAGCAUUUAACACCAGUUGCUAUCGAAGUCGGGGGGAAAUGCCCGGCCAUUAUUGAUUCGUUUACGACCGCGAAAGAUAGAAAGGUAUGUUUGCAUUCGAUAUUUAGCAGUUCUUGCAAUGAAUUUACGACAAGUAAUAGCAGCCCAACCAUCUUAAACUGAAGCUCUAAUGUUAGCUAAUUCUAUGUAAACUACUCUGUCAAGUCCAUAAAAAUCACUAUUACUUCAUAUGAGUGUGCCUAUAUGAGAAUAAUCGCCGUGGUUCAAAACAUAUUUCGUAUCCUCGCCAAUUAAUCCACGAUGAUAAAUUGGUUCAAAACGGGCCAAUUUCAUCGCAAGCGCACACUCGUACACCGAUAGCGAAACUUUUGGCUGUUAAAAGGUCUUAGUGUUUGCAAAAUGAAUCUCAAGGAAAGCUCGAUCGAUGUUUGGCAAUGGGAUAAAUUGUGUAAAAACACGAACAAUCGGUAGUUAAGAUGCUUGAGUUUGGAUGUUUAAUACUUGAUCAGGUGACUGUCGAACGAGUUGUUGGCGGAAAAUGGGGGCCUUGUGCUGGACAAGCCUGCAUAGCAAUUGAUUAUUUGCUCGUGGAAGAAGAGUUCGCACCUGUUCUGGUAAUGGAUCUGUUUGCAAAGCAAUAACUGAACUUUAAAAGCUUGCAUUUCGGUACUUACGACUUCCCCUCGCUUCCUGUAGGUUGAGUUGCUGAAGGCGACAAUUGCGAAAUUCUUCACUGCACGCGAAUACGUCUCGCGGAUAGUUAACAAGCAUCAUUUUGAGAGGCUGAGCAGGCUUUUAGAGGAUAAAGAAGUUGCAGCUUCCAUCAAGCAUGGCGGCCUCCGCGAUCCUGAGAACCUGUAGCUUCUUGAACGCCUUACAUUAUAAUCUUAUUCAGCCCUCUGUAUCUUAGUAGUAUCAUUCGACGAUCCACGCUGAGAACCAAAAUCAUCUGACUAACAGUUAUCAUAUUGCGUAGGUUCAUUGAGCCAACCAUAUUGUUAAAUCCCCCGUUGGACACCGAGAUUAUGACUGAAGAGAUAUUCGGCCCACUGCUUCCAAUCAUCACAGUGAGAAAAUCGGACACUUCUAGUUUGUGCGACGCCUUGUGCUUUCUAGUUGACAAAGAUUAAAAUUGUGACAUUUGGUGUGUGCUCUUUUUACAGCUGAAGAAGAUCGAGGACAGCAUCGAGUUUGUACGAGCAAGGCCGAAGCCGCUUGUUAUAUACGCGUUCACGCACAAUGAGACGCUGAAAAAGCGGAUCGUAGAAGAAACAUCUUCAGGAAGUGUCACUUUUAAUGAUGCCAUCAUACAAGUAAUCUUAAUUAUCAUCCCUUCAGAGCUUAUAGCAACACUGUUUUUGAUAUAACUAAUCUUAGAUAGUCAACUUAUCUGCCUUUCAAAAAAACAGAAAUUCAGAUGAUACCUGAUUAUUACCGGAAGUUGCAACGAAGCAUUGCUUUUGAAUAAUGCUUAAGGUUAUUUUUGCAGUUUCUACUGGACGCAUUACCAUUUGGAGGAAUCGGACAAAGCGGUUUCGGGCAAUACCACGGCAAGUACUCGUUCGACUUGUUCAGCCACCGGAAAUCGGUUGUGAGGAGGAGCUUCCUCACUGAGUUCAGUUUCAGAUAUCCGCCAUGGGACGAGAGAAAGCUGCAACUGUUAAGAUAUGCUUACAGUUUCGAUUAUGUCAGAUUUGUGCUAUACUUUUUAGGAUUAAAGAGAUAAUUGCUCAGUUUACUCUUCGUGCCGUCGUCGUGUUUUGGCCUUGCUAGCCGGUUGAAUCGUACGGUCGUUUUCAGUUAUGGGUACUAUUUCUAUGGCAACUCCACUUCAUGGAGAUGCACUGGAAGAGUUUUCUCUUCUCUUUUUUCUUUUUCUUUUUUUUUUUUUAUGCUUGAGAAGGUCGUUUAGUGCCAAUACAGAGAGUAUAUUGUUUGGUUACAUGAGCUUAUUUAGUUUAUCAGCCUUUAUCUAAUAUAAUAUAUAUAGAGAUAUUAUACGAUCCAGUUAUGUAUCAGAAUAAUCCAUGAAUUUUCUCGCUGGGUUAGCCUCACAAUACGAAAGCUUAGUUGAUCAAACGUUAAGUGUCACGACAAGUGUAACAAUAUUCUACAUUAUUAUUAAACACAUUACUAUUAAAAAGUGUAUAUUAUGUACAUUAAACCCAUGUCUAAACAACAGGAACAUAGAAAAUAAUGCUGCUUAAUGAUAAGAAGCCACAAGUGAAAAAUGGCCUACAUCAUGGAAACGUGGUUAGCUUUCUCACCAUUUGGCUUCCAUAUUCAGCUGACCUUUUUCUUUAACAUUGACUAUUUUCUUUUUAAGAUUGAUAUUUGUUGGCCUUAAGUUGCUAUCUACACGUACAGAGGUAUUCUGCAAUAAAUGCUUUUUUACGCAUGAGAAGUUCAUCUCGUCCUUGGAUCAGCUGCAGGAGAGAUUCCACAGUAAGUCGAUAUGCUACAUUUGUAAGUUGUCUACAAUCAUACAAUCUGCAAAUAAGGAGACACAUGUCAGAUCAUAGACAAGCAAUCGAUGGGAAAUAUGAUUAUCUAGGACGCUUACUACAACAAACAUCACAAAUAGAAAAGACCAAACAGCACAAGUUCUCAUGAAAUAUAGGAUAUGACGUAGAAAUGAGCACUGCCGUAGAGUAAGCGUUAAUACCUCAAUUGACAAACUUCUACUACACAGGAAUAAGCACGAGAAGUACUCGAAAGUUCUUAGAUUAUAUAUUCGACAGAGUUAAGUUUUUCAUUUUUAAGGAAAUGGCAGAAUGCGGACGUCUUAGAGAACUUACUCGUUGCACAAGAGGAAUCAGCUCAACCAAUGGACGGCAGCAUGAUUGGUGCACCAUCUUGGGAUCAGCUGAGAGCCAAAAUUUUGCAGCUUUAGGGGAGUUCUCAAUGUAUCUUACACCUACACUGUAAAUUGUCCACCUAGAAUAUUACCACAGUAAACAAUGUGGCCAAUAUGUUGGUAGUCAGUAGUACAAUGAUCUUCACAUUCUUACUUGAUAUUCCAGAAGAACAUGGAACAAUUUCCACCUUAGAGCUAGCUAAUUCUUGGGCUAAUCAGCAUAAGUUCAUUCCUUUCCGGCUGAAGUGAUUGUUUUUUCUUUCAUGGCCUCCUUUUCCAUUUUUUUCUUUUCAGUUUCAGCAAAUUUUGCAUUCUCCUCACGCGAUUUGUUGAACGUAUUAACAAAGAUUACCAGAAUCGAUGUCACUGGAAAGAUGAGAACAAGGACUUGUUACAUGCAUAUCCAACGGAAGAUAUAGUCAUGGCCUGUGAAAAUAAUGUAAAUACAUCAUACCUUGUUCGAAAGGACAACGAGCAGGGUCUUCUCCGAAAUACUGAGCUAGAGAAUCAGCAUUUCUUCCCUAACAUAAUUCAUGCUCCAAUCAAAUAUAGAAAACUAAAGAAGGCAACCAGAACUUUGUUGCGUGUGUACUCACCACUUCUGAAUAUAAGGAUAUAAGGGACCUAACAUCAGCCUCCGCAGUAUCAAGAAAACUCUUCAAAGCCUGAAGUGGAAUAGUAUAAUAUUUUUCCCAGCAUUAGCAAUUAAAAAAAAAAAUAUUAGCAACUUUCAAGAAGAGGAAAAGGGGACAGUAUAGCAUCCUUAUAAGUGAACUUAUAAGGUCAAAAAAGUAUUUUAAGUGACUUGGAGACACAAGGAAUCACGAGGAAGGAGAAGUGUGUGUGAAAUGGCAAUGGUAGGCAAGAUUGCAACAAUAAUGAAAUGAAUUGAGUUUUCCCUGUCUUAGACUACUAUUCACCUUACGAAAACCCACAGAGAUAUCACCAUCGUUGUCUGAUGCAGUCAGUUCUUGCUCGACCUUUUCAAGACCUUUGUUCACUGCUUGCAUCUCUUCAGCAACCAAUUUUAAUUGGAUCUGUGCAAUUUUUUGAAAAUUUUUACAUCAGAAAUCUCAAAAAAAUCCAAUUAAGCAAUACUUCAAAAAGCAAGCUCAAUAUCAGUAAAUCCAUCAGUUCACAGUAUAGGGAAUGGAAAAUGUACCUUGGAGGCUGCUUCCAAAUGAAUCAAGUCCUUAUCAAAAUCAAGCAACUCAGGCAUUUUCUCAGCAAGGAGCUAAAGAAUAUGGAGAAAAAGAAAAACAUUGUUAGCAUCUUAUCCAUGUCAUGAAAUCAAUAUCACUUAACAUGAAUAUCACUCAACAAAAAGUAUAUCAUACCUUGCAUAAAUAAUGCAUUAAGGUCAUUUUGUUAUUUCUUGCACGAGUAUCUGCUAAUUUAAGAAGGCUGUCCAAUCUGAAUCCCACAGCAGAGCCUGCAAAACAGAGAAAAGCAAACAUAUUUUUAACUGCUUGCAUGAGAAUCCCAUAAUUUCACUUCUAUCGCAUAUUGAUACCUCGUGCAGUGCCUUGAUUCAGCACAUUUCCUAAUGUAAGUAUCGUCUGCAUGAUUUGGCGUAACUUCAAAGACUCCUUAACCUAAAUAAAAUUUGGAAUAUUACAUUCAUCCAAGAAUUUUGAGUACAUUGUCAAAUCUUUUUCCACAGAGGAUACCUCUCUAGAUGCAUCAUUAAUUAUAUUUAGGUUGGUUCGCAACUCUUGCACCUGUUUAAUAGGGAGAAUGUCUUCAUGUUAACUAAAUUUAAGGCAUAAUAAAUAUCAGCCAAUAAUUCCAUCAGCUUGUUGAGGAGAAAAAGAAUAAUACCUGCGUUGAAAAGGUGAUUCUAAAAGAGAAAACUCUUAACUUGGAUUCCACUCGAGGAACCCUCAUCAGCUCCAGGAAGAACUGGUGAAAUAACAUACAAGCUGCAGAUAUCACUUAAAAUUGAAUAAAACAUGCAUUUUGGCAUUGAAAAUAAACCUGUUCACAUCUCCCAAGCAUUUCUUUGUUGCCGUUGUAGUUCUGAAAACACCCAGAAACAAAAAAGAGCAGUCAGACAACCAAGAAAGACAUCAACAGAAGAAAACAUUAGAGAGAGAAAUUAAAUUGGAUGUUUGGCAACUGGAAGAAAGAGAUAUGAUGUGCCUUUGGAAAUGAUCGUAUGCAGUUUUAUCUCCAAAGAAAAGAAGUACUGGUUGACUAUGGCAAAGAUAUAAUACGUAAAACUUUUAGAUGCAAGUUUAUUUAUAAUAGUACUGAUAGUCCAUAAGCAGAAAGAAAAACAGUUUGAUUUACUUCGCAAAAUUAUGUAGGAAGAAGAACAAUUUGAUUUACUUUGCAAAAUUAUGCAAACAGCAUCUCCACCUACUCUAAGAAAUUAAGAUUAUGGCGAAAAGAAUUCCGAAAGAAGAGAAUAGAAACAGACGCUUUGAUGUUUGCCUUCUGAAACCAAAUAAAUAUCAUUAGCACAACAGUAUUUGUAGAGUUAAUGCAUUCCUAUCUUAUGCUUCGUAAGGCAUAUGAAAACGUAGAUGCUAUCAGUACAGAGGCAUUUUCGCAUUUUUUAUCAUCUUUGCAAGCAGAAACUGGUUUGGUAAUCACUUUUUAGGAUAAAAUUGUUGGCACAUGUUAUCUCUUACACAUUAUAGGAGACUCAGAUAUUCCUUGGACAGUUGACAACCCAAACUAUAAGAUAUGAAGACUAGUAGUCCAGAUCUGGCAGUUUUUUAACUUGGGCUCUAAGAUGGAUCUCAAAGCCUAAGCUUCCCAUUUUCCAAUAAAUUAUGCUACUCUCUGGCAACUUUCGGAGAUUUAUAAUCCAUACAAAGCACAGUGACAGAGAUACAUUUUCUAGACAUAUGGACGAAAGGAAGUCAAACAUAACGGUGGUACUUUACCUUUAGCAUCUCCAUUUCUUCUUUUGUAGGACAAAACUUGAUGAGAUUUUCCACUUGGUCAAUGUCCAAAACCGAGGUAUCCAGAGCUAAGAUUGCGCUCUAACAAUAAGAGAAAAAGGAAUUAUCAGAAGAAAUUGAAUUAGUCAGCAUCAAAACCAAGAAAGUUCCGAUGCAAGAAAACUUACAAUCAUAUCUGGAAGAGGCAUCUUUAUCUUAGUAAGCAUGAUUUCACAGUUAUUUGCUCUGCGCAUGUCAACCUGAAACAGGAAAAUUCCAUUGACGCCCGUGUUAUUGAAUAGCAUGACAAAUAAGGUCAACAAGCAGUUCUCACAAUAUAACAUCAUUCUCAACCGAAAAUAGAAGACUACAGCAGAAUUUUCUAAACAAUCAUAAUUAAAAUUUAAAGCACAUCAAUCUACCAUUCAUACAGAAUGAAAUCUGUGAUUGACCAAAUAUACUGGACAGGAAAAUGAACUGAAGUCCAAAGGUAUAAGGGUCAUAAAAAUACCAAGUGGACUAUCUCAGGCUUACUGACGCUAGAACCACGCUUUGAUCCAGCUUUAUCUGUCCCAUUGCCGUCACUUGAAACUGCAGUUGAAAAUAGACUUUCCAAUUCAGAAAAGUCAAUCUCGGGAGCCCUGUCAAUAAUGUUAACAACAAAUAUAAGUACAAUUAUAUUUUGCAUGUGACAAGCACAGGAAAAAGACAGUCGUUGCAUAUAAAGCAAGCAGUGCAAGAAUUAAAUUACUAGUCCGGCAAUAACAGAAUUAUGUUUUGGAGAAUUGUCUUACCUGUGUCAUACCAGUUCAGUUCAUCACUUCAUCCAGUUGGGCUUUACUAGUAUCACUAUAAGCCUAAACAUAAGACUCAACUGUUUUUACUAAUUACCGAUUUGUAGAAAGAGGGAGGACUUAAACUGAUUAUUUGCAGUUGUAGAUCCAAGGACCAAGAUACAAACUAAGGCAUAUUUCUUCAAAAAAAUAACCUCAAUAGCUUUAUUAUCAACAUAAUGAAUUUUGAAAAGUUUAACUACUGCAAUUACCUUGUCUGGUUCUCUUGCUUCUGGGAAUCAGCCCAUAGACUCCCUUGCAUUGCUCGAGUAACCUUGACCCAAUGCAAAGGCUUUAGAGAAGCUUUUUUCAGAGCAUUAUUAGACUGUCCAGAUCCCCGGCCUCUUCCUAAGCUGGGUGGAUUAGCUCUUCCAUGUCCCAAACUUGCAGGAGGUGGUGCUGGCACAUUCGAAACUUUGGAUCCUGGAGGUUGUGGUGGUUGUGGUGGCCCCAGUUUCGGUGCUGGAGGGGGCGGCGGAGGAGUAGGGCCUCGUAUGCUACGCACUGAUGGAGGAGGAGGCUGUGGUGGGGCUGGAUUGGUUCCUUGCUUAGAGGGAAGUGGGGGUGGUGGAGGUGGAAACCCACGAUUAGAACUCGAAACAGGUGGAGGCAGAGGUGGAGGUGGAGUACUAGAAGGGGCAGAACUUCUACUAGAUGUACUAGGGAGAGGUGGAGGUGGAGGUGGAGGUGGAGGAGGCGGAGGACACCUAUUAGAUGCACUAGGAAGAGGAGGGGGAGGAGGAAUGGUAGAACNUGGUGGAAUUGGAGGAGUACUGGAAGGAGGCACAGAAUUUCUACUAGAUGUACUAGGGAGAGGUGGAGGUGGAGGUGGAGGUGGAGGAGGCGGAGAACCCUUAUUAGACAUAGACGAGGGAGGUGGGGGAGGCGGAGCCCUAUUUGAUGUACCGGGUAGAGAAUCCUUAUUAGAAACAAAAGGAGGCGGGGGAGGAGGGGGAGGUGGAGGAGGUGGAGGUGGAGCCUUGCUUAAUAUACUAGGUAAAGGGGGUGACAGUGAGCCUAGCUUGGCAUUAUUAGUUUCGGAAGGAACAUUAGAAGAUAGAGGAGGCAAAGCGCAAUUCGGACCUUUGUCUGAUUUUGUAUAAACAGGCAAAGGUGAAGGUGAAACCAGGCCUUCACUGCCUGCAGUUAAAAAUGAGGGAUGUGGUGGCGGCGGCAGUGGUGGAGAUACACUAGACACAGCUGAAGUUGGUGAAGGUGAUUUGGUUUUCUUAAUUUCUGAAGAGAAACUAGGAGGUGGGGGAGGAGGGGGGGGAGGAGGAGGAUGAGGAGGAAGGGAAGAAGAAUUUUUGUUGGAUAAAGCAUGCUUGGCUGAAGAUGGAGGGGGAGGGGGAGGGGGAGGGGGCGGUGGAGCGCGGGACAAAGCAGUCGAUGUUUUUACUGAUUCAGAUGUAAUACUAACUGAAGUAUGAAGAGAGGGCAAAGAAGGAGCAGGUGGCGGCGGCGGCGGCGGCAGCAAGGGUGGAGAUACAGAUGCGUCAUGUACUGUGAUAGCGGAGCAAUCUGGCUGUGCAAAACCUGUGACACAAAUAACAUUAUAAGGUAUGAACUUCUAUAAUGUUACAAAAGAGUGCCAAUUAUCCUUACCGAUAGAAUCAGAAUCUUCGAUUGCACUAUCAUCAUGCAUUUCCUCUGAUUCAGUAGUAAUAUUCGGGCUAUGAUGAGCAGUUUCAUUGUCCACAGAAGAAACAGAAUUUGAAGUUGCAGAAUCUUUUUCUUCAUCAGAAUCUGUGGGUGAAAUUAGUGACAUCUGCAUACCUACUUUACUUUGCAGCUUUGUCAACUCCUUCACGUCACUAAGAAUUAGCUUCUGAAUUCGUUCUUGCAAAGCAUUCGCCGAAAUUUCUUUCAGCAACCAAAAUGCAGCAUCAUCACCACUGUCAAUCAAUUCGACACCGCUGAAAAGUUCUUGCACUCUAGAAAAAGCUUCAAUUGGCAAUCCCCCUUUCAUCUCGCCAUUCAACAUAACUGUUGGAGCUCUUGGAGGAGAGAUGCUCUCAAUUUCACCAAAAAGCACCUAAAUGCCAAAAUUUUCAAAAGCGGCAGAUCGCAUAAAAUACAUAUUCAAAUUCAUGAUCAGGUAGAAGCAAUUCACGACAUUACUUUGUUUACCUCCGAUCUAAAACCUUUUGGAUAGCGGUCUUUUGAUUCCCAUAGUAUGUCCACAUCCUCACAAUUCAGCAUCAAUAUGUUCGAUCGAAUAAAAGCAGUGUUGAACAUGAUGCGAAACAUCAUUACUUCCCUUUCUGGAUCCAAGUCAAGAUGCACACAUUCCAAGACGACGUCACCUUGUACUAAGCAUUGUAUGUCAAUUUUUAUGACAUCACAAUCAUCCUGUGAAAGAAAAAAACAAAAAAAAAAGAAGAAAUAUAAAAUCGUCCAGCGAUUCAGAAAUACAAACAAGAAGCUACUAAGAUGCAUCAUACACUAAACAGCAGCAUCGUACCUGCCGGUAGUGCCGCAAAGUCUUCUUUUUGGGCAUUGAGAAGAGCAUGCCAGUUGAAAGGCCAUCCUUGUUAAGAAGAUUACGGCCAAAAAUUCGUAUAAGUGGUCGGCAUCCAUUAUCAGAAUCAAAGCUUGGAAUGGCUCGAAGAAUGAGGCAAUCCAAAGAAAGAGCCCGCUCCAUAGGAGGCCAUUCUGAAGAAAUGUUUCUCCUAGCUACAUACUGCAAGUAACGUAGUUGAGAUGGGAAUGGAUUCAGUGGUGAUAGAAGUUGUAAAAAACCUUUAGGGGCCUCUCGGUGGACAAUCUCUAGUGUUUUCUGUUCUCCAUAAUGCAUUUUCCUGAAAAUUAAAAAGCAAGCUAGAAGAAAUGCUAGAAGCGGCCAGCCACCUCUCUCACAAUGGAGUAAUACAAUGUUUUGACUUCCGAGAGACAGCCAGCUGUCACAGACACGAAGGAAGUGCUGAACGAGAGAUAAAGGAAGAAGAGGGCAGCCUUCAUAAUGGCGUGGAUAAUCAAUAAUAGUAAUAUCAUAUUCGCAAAGAAUCUUCGCGAAUUGGCUUCUCUUUUUUCCGUCUCUAAAAUUUAAAGCAAGGAAAGAAGACUCGGGAAAUUCUUCAUGCAGCUCGGUGACUAUCUCAUGCAAGUAGAUUUGAUACAUUUCAUCCGACAAAACUUCCGUGGAAAAGCAUGAGUCAAAAACUGCACAAAGGAAACAAAAAAGAACAAGAAAUGUUGGUAAAAUUUAUGAAGACAAGAAAACAAAUUACAAGAAUGCUCGUAGUUCAUCAUUUUUAUGUUUACCAUAAACCUUGUCAGCAAACUCCAGCAACCCAUCAGGCGGUCUCCUAUAAAAGAAUCUGCUAAAGAGAGACAUCUCAUUGGACAGCAGAUUUGACAGACAGAAGCAGAUCGACUUCAGAUUAUCUGCCGAAAUAGAUAAGGGUGUAAACUUCAAGUGAGAUUAAUUGAUAAUGAAGAGCUCACUAAAUGGAUAAUAUGCGGCAUUAAACACCAUUUAUAUUUCCAUUUUGGUUCACCUUCAACUCGCGAUGCUUACUCGUGACCUCCAAGCUUACAAUUUUUUCUUUUUGAAAGCAGCUUAUAACAAUGACCUCCAAACUUGCAAAAUUGAGAAAUUUUCACCCUGAAACCUUUCCAUAUACCAAGGCCUAAAACACUGAUCAACAAAUUCAUUGUAGGUCCUAAAUGUCCUGGUUUUGCAUACAUAACAAUUUCAAACUAAAAUAGUGUCACAUUACAUGCACAGUUUCAAUCAACGCUUGAAACUUAUCAACUAAACAUCUGCAUCCGCAUCUCUUCUGCUAUAAACUAUGAGCACACGCUACAGCUACUUCAAAACUAACUGAUCACACAGACGCAAUUUGUAUUACCUACAAGGCUACAACGCAAAACCCACUAAAAAAGCCUAAGAAACAUUGAUAACCCUAAUUACUAGCACUCAUCCGAACUAGUACUCAAAUCGCGAAUAAAACGGAAACAAAUCCUUUCAAAGUCACCCAAAAGAACACAAUGAAUCAUCAAACGAAGCUCGCAUGCUCUACAAUGGAGAAAGUGAGGGGAAACGAUUACCUCCAACAAAAGGAGGUCCGAUCGAAGGUUGCAAGGGUUUUGGAGGCGGAGAUGCGCUCGCGGCGAGUUCGAUCCGAAGCAGCGAAGGGCGAAGCUUCAGAGUUCGCAAAUGGCGAUUUGGGAGCUAAAAACCUGCGACCUUGUUCGAAGAUCGCGGAGAGAGAGAGGAGAAGGGGUUCGUUCGGAUUCGAGAAGAGUAGAGGAGCGGGGCGGUGGAUUUGGAAUUUAGACGCGGAGGAUGGUGCGGUUUCAAAUUUCCGGUCCCACGAGCCACGAGCGACGAGGGGAUCGGUGGUAAUGGGUUCAACCGAGUCCAGUGGUGUCGAGCUUAACUCGGGCUCGACCCGUAGUAAUGGAAAUAUUAAUUAAUAUUAAUAUUAAUAUUAAUAUUAAUGUUCCUUAUGUGAGCCUAUUAAUGGGCCGGGCCUAUUGAUAGCUCCCGGCCUAGUAAUUUACAGGCCAACUCAGGCACAAAUUCGGUAGUCCUGUUGUACCAACACAACUGUAUAAAAAGUUUGACUUGUUUGUUGGAGAGGAUUUGGGAGGUCGAACUUAGGGAUGUGGGUAUAGAUACCCGAAAUUUUGUCCGAAUCCGAACCCGAAUGAAAUGGAUAUAUCUGAUUCUGAAUGGAUAUGGAUUCGGAUAUGGAUAUCAAAAAUAGAAACCCGACGGAUAUGGAUUCGGAUAUGAAUUUUGAUUGUACCCGAUCCGAACCCGAGCCCGACCCAAACCUGAAUUUAUUUUGUAUUAUAAUAUAUAUUUGAUGUUAUAUUUGAAUUUGUAUUUUAAAAUUUUAAAUUUAAUAUAAUAUAUUUUGAAAUAUUGAAAAAAAAUAAUUGUUUCGGGUUUAAAUUUUCGGGUUUGGGUUCGGGUUUCAAAUUUUUGGUCGGGUUCGGGUUUAGAUAUGGAUUUUUAAAAUCCGUCGGGUUCGGGUUCGGGUUCGGAUUCGGGGCUCGGGUUUGGAGUCGGGUUUGGGUUCGGGUUUCAAAUUUUUGGUCGGGUUCGGGUUUAGAUAUGGAUUUUUAAAAUCCGUCGGGUUCGGGUUCGGGUUCGGAUUCGGGGCUCGGGUUUGGAGUCGGGUUUGGGUUCGGGUUUUUAAAAAUCCGCUCCGAAUCCGACCCGUUGACAUCUCUAGUCGAACUCACAAAAAAAAAGUCAAUUUUUGUUGCGGAACCAAAGUUACCGCAAGAAAUAUAUAGUAACUAGAUUUCAAAUUUUGAAUCUUAUGUACCAAACAUCAAGCUUUUACCCAACUAUCCUAUAUAUGUAUGGUCGAUUGUAAGUAUGAAAAUCACACUGCCCGUCACCCUGAGCUGAGCCAAAUUUUUCUCGGCAUCUUAUAUUUUGCCUGCAAAAUUGCUCUCACGAAAAGCUGAAAAGGGCAAACAAAAAAAUUAAAAAAAAAAACAACUAUUUAAAUUUGUUUUUAUUGCAGGUGUAGUUCAUGCCAGACCUACCAUAUAAGGCCGCGUAGUGAUAUUUUCUUCAUUUGAGUUAUUUGGGUUGUGGGCUCCACCAUUCCAUCCCCCUCACCAUACACUCCCUUCACCUAUUAUGAAACAUACACCCCUUUACUUUCCUUUUACAUAUUCUCUUUUUUUUUUUUUCAAAACGUACGCCUUUUCACAUCCCUUCAUAUUUUUUCAAAAUGUACACCCUCUCAUCUCUCCACUCUUCAUAUUUUUUUCAAAUUUUGUAUACUUUUUCAAAACGUACACCCUAAAUUUGAAAGUGUAGAUUUCUAUUUAGUAUUAUACUUUUUCAAAAUCUUCAAGCAUUAUAAUGUAGAUUUCUACCUUAAACUUCAUUUCUUCUUCUUCUUCAUUCUCUCUCUCUCUCUCCCCAUUAACGGCGGAGGUAAUCGUGUAAUUUUUUGCGGACGUGGUAUAGAUUGCUAGAGCAUUCACUGCUAUGCUAAAAAGCUUCGCUAUGACCCCUACGUUGUCCCUCGCCAUGGCCUCCUCUUUGUGCGCUGUGAUUGUAGCGCGCUUCCCUACCUCCUCUCAAAUCUCCUCUUUUUUCGCCUUUGACGCCCAAUUCGACUCCUGCAUCAUCGACAUUCUAAAAUCCUCUCUUUAUCUUCCUAUGAUUUUUUUUUUCUUUUUAAUCAAAUCUUUCUAAUAUUAGAUUCGCUUCUUUGGAUUUAGAAAGAGGUCUAGAAGACUAUCAUUUGUUUGGAUAUUGGGACAUCGGAAUUAUUUAUCAUGCACGCCAGCGGUUCGAUGCAUGAUUUUUUUUAGAAUUAAAAUAAAAUAUGGCCAAUUUGCAUAAAAAAUCCACUUAUUUUGGGCUUUUGCAAAACCGGGCCACCUUUUUCGUUUUUGCAAAUUCGGUCCGCUUUUUCAGCAAACUGACCAAAAUACCCUUAUUACUUUUUCUUUUUCCUCUUUCUCUCUUCUCUUCGUUCUCUCGUUCUUUUUUUUUUUCGCCGAAAAAAAAGCGACGGCCGGAGCACCGCCAAGCGGGCUCUUCUUCUUCUUCUUCUUCUUCCUGGAGGAGCAAUUUUUUUUUCUCUUUUUCUUUUUCUUCUUCUUCUUCCUCCUGCUGGAGCUUUUUUUUUUUCUCCUCUUCUUCUUCUUCUUCUUCUUUUUCUUCCUGUAAGAGCACGGAGCGCGCACGGCGACUUCCGGCCUCGCCACGGAGCCCGACCGCUCGACCCCGACGCCCCGCUCAAGCCGGGGAAGCUCUACUUCCUCGCGACUCCCCCGCGCCGACCUCGGAGCGCCGACCACGUAACGCCGCGAGGGCGCAACCGGCCGGCCGGGCCGCGCCGCGCGUUCCUACAUUGCCUGAGGAGCCGCGUACGAGACUACGAGCCCACGCAUCGACCCACGACGCCCUGCUCAGCCGGGGAAGCCUACUUCGCCGCGUGGCGGAAUUUCAACCAUGUAACCAUUACGAGAACACCGAGCACGGGACAACGAGCGUCCGCACUGAAGAUCGCCGGGUUGACGUGCGUCCUCCCCUCCGCCGGCGACGGCAGACGAGAGGGAGCUUGCGGGCACGCGGCCGACCUCGAGCUCGGCCGACCUGACCUCACCGCCGCAUCCGCUCGACUCCUGACGCCCGGCCAGGCCGCCUGCAUCACCGCCCGUCGUGCCGGGCGCCCCCCGACUCCGGCAGCAGAGCUCGGCUCGAUGGCGCCGUCGCCGCGGCAGAGCUUCCCGCCCUUGGGUAGCUGUGCGCCCACCCCGCGCGAAGACAGCACAACGAGGCCCCGCGCACGGCCGCAGGCGUGGGCAGGCGUGGGCGCGGCGUCGUGGUCAACCGUAUACUAAAAGCACAAAAUUGAAAAAGCAACUGUAACAAAAGCUCAAUCCAGCACUUCUCGCCUCAUUAAUAUAAUUGUUAACAUUUGCAGCUAUAGUUUGAUGAAUGCAAAGCAUGCAUAAUUAACUUCUUGUUUUAUUAUCCAAUAACUCCAAAAUUGCUGGAGUUAGACUCAAAAAAAAAAAAAAACUUGACGGAAUUAUUACUCUGAUCAUAUCCUCACUAAACUAGUGCUUCGAGAAUAGCCUUAACAGCCCCAACAACCAUGUGUAUCGAAUUAAUUGUUCACGCCGACGCCGCGCCCACGCCGCCACGCCGCGGCCGCCUCUGCGCGACGUUGUCGUAUUGCUUGCGCCGCGGCAGUCAGGGCGGCGGCGAAGCUCUGCCGCGCGCGGCGGCGCCUCAGAGCCGAGCUGCUGCCGCGGAGCUCGGGGCGCCGCGGCAGCGCACGGGCCGUGCAGCAGGGCGGCCUGGGGCGCGGGGGCUCGAGCGGAGAGCGCGGGGGAGGUCGAGGUCGCCGAGCUCGAGUCGGCCGGUGCACGCCAACGGCCUCCCUCUCCGUCGUCGCCCCGCGAGGAGGCACAUAGUAGACCCCGGCGGUCUCCCGCGCCGGUGCUCGCUGUCCGCCGGCUUGGCCGGUCUUCGUAAUGGUUAAUGUGCAGCCAUAUACAGCCAUUAAUGGUGUAAUGGUCAAAUCGCGCGCCGUGGUCAGGCUCGGGGUCGGCGCGGGGCAGGAAGUAAGAGCUCCGCCCGUCUGAGCAGGGCGUCAUGGUUGAGCGGUCGGGCUCUCGUAGUUCCGACCGCGCCUCCUCGGGCAAUCUAGUAGGGAACGCCUGGCGCCGGCCUAGCGCCGUUGCCCCUGCGGCGGUGGUCGGGCUCGAGGUCGGCGCGGGGAAAGGUCGACCGACGAAAUAGAGCUCCCCGCUUGAGCGGGGCGUCGGGGUCGAGGCGUCAGACGCUCCGUGCGAGGCCGAAAGUCGCCGUGCUGCUGCCAUGCUUCUACAGGAAGAAAAGAAGAAAAGAAGAGGGAAAUAAAAAAAUGCUCCAGCAAGAGGAAGAGAAGGAAGAAGAAGAAAAAGAGAAUAAAAAAAAUUGCUCUUGAGGAAGAGAUGAAAGAAGACCCGCCUAGCGCUGCUACCGGCCGUCGCUUUUGUUUCAGCGAACAAAAAAAAAGAACGAGAGACGAACGGAAGAGAGAAAGAGGAAAGAGAAAAAAGUAAAUAAGGGUAUUUGGUCAGCUUUGCUGAAAAAGCGGACCGAAUUUGCAAAAACGAAAAAAUUCAUGUGGCCCGGUUUUGCAAAAGCCAAAAUAAGUGGAUUUUUAUGCAAGAUUGGCCAAAUAAUAUUAUAAGUUCAAAUAUAUUUAUUAUAUUUUAAAUACUAAUUUUUAUAAUUUUGAUUUGAUUUUAGUGUAAAGAAGAAGCAUAUAACGAUGAUCAAAAAAGAAAUGAAUCCAAAACCUUCUUUCAGAUGAAAUAUAUUUCAAUAAAAUUUAAAAAAAUAUUUUUUUUCUAACUAAUUUUAUUUAUUUAUUUUAAUUGCUAUGUUUAAAAAUUUAAUUUUGAUGUAAAAAGAAAGAAACCGAAGUCCGUUAUAAAUCAAUCCGAAUAACAAAACCAACUCAACGAAAUCACCUUCAUAUUUCCUUUCUUUUCCUUUAUUCUCGUAUUAAAAUUAUUUUUUAAUUCUAUUUAUCAUAAUUGUUAUUUUCUAGUUCUUUUCUUUUCGUCUUUUCUUUGUCCUCUACUGAAUUAUAUGUCUCAUUCAUAAUUUUCUAUAUAUUUUUUAAUAUUAUUAACCAAUCCUAUUUUGAAUUUUAAUAUUAAAUUUAUAAUUUUAUUAUAAUGUCUAUUCCCCCGCAUCGCGAUAAGUCUAAAUUAAGUCUAGAAUGCAAUAAUACAAUAUUAAUGUAGUGUGCCCAAACUUAAUCAAAAUUUCUUUUGAGAUUCACCAAUUCCAUUAUAAAUAAAAGAAAACUAAUUUUAUUAGUUUUUUAAAAAAAAUAAUAAAUACGGUUGCCUGAUAGAUACAUAAUAUCAGUAAAUAAAUAUUAAAUAAUAAACUGGUAGAUUUUAUGACACGGUCCGGUGCAGACAUUUUGUUGGCGAAGAAGCUGGAAAAACACUUACCUUCAUCACGCAUCAAAACGCGCCAUUCAUGCCCCCCACAAUUAGAAAGAAUUAAAAAUAUAUUACAAUACCUGAUGAGACCAUUUAUUAAACCCGUACCUACUGAUUUGAAGACGAAGAUUUAUGCAUGAUUAAACGAGAUUUCUAUUGCCGAUUUUUGUGGACUGAAUGUCGAAAGUGAAUCAGAUAAACAGUGCGUUGAGAACUUGUACGGUGUGGAUGCUUAUACGGUAUAUAGAGCAGUAAUUAACUGAGAGCAAAUCAUUCGUACUUAAUUAGGCCCUUUUUGAUGCAUAGUUAAAAAUAUUUUAAAAACAAUUUUUUUUAUUUUAUAUGGUUUUAGAGUUUUAGAAUAGUCUGAAUGAAAUCAUGAAAAUUCUGUACUAUUUAAAAAAAUCCGAUAGCAUUAUUUCUUAACGUUGUUUGGAUUACAUAUCAUACAAUUCCAUAAUAAUAGUAUAACAAUUAAAUUUCUAACAAUUUUAAAAUUGUAAAAUUCAAAAAACUCAAAUAUCAAAAUUAAAAUAAAAUCUUUAAAAAUAAAAUCAAAUUCAAAAUAUAAAAUUAAAAUUAAAAUAAACAUUUAAAAAAUUAAAUUAGAUUUUAUGUUUAAUUGAAAUUGGAACUUUUGGAAUUUAAAAUCUUAAAUUUUGAAAUUGAAAAUUUAAAUUUUAAAAUUUAAAAGUAUAACAUUUAAAAUUUAAAAAAGUAUAAUUAAAAUUUUUAAUAUUUAAUUUAAAUAAAUAUUUAUAAAUUACAUAUUUAAUUAAAUUUUAAAUUUUAAAAUUUAAGUUUAAAUUAAAUUUGAAAAUUUUAAAUUAAUAUAAAAUUUUGAAAAUUUGAAAUUUGAAAGUUUGAAAUUUGAAAAUUUUUGAAAUUUAAAAUUUAAAAUUUGAAAUUUGAAAUUUGAAAUUCGAAAUUUGAAAUCUGAACUUUUUGAAAUUUGAAAUUUGAAAUUCGAAAUUCAAAAUUUGAAAUUUGAAAUUUGAAAUUUAAAAUUUAAACUUUUUGAAAUUUGAAAUUUAAAAUUUGAAAUUUAAAAUUUAAAAUCAAAAUAAAGAUUGAAUUUUUAAAAUUUUAAAUUUUGAAAUUUAAAAUUUUAUGUUGAAAUUUAAAAUUUAGAAAUUGAUACAUCUUUGGGAGCACAAAAUGGUGGAAUUUUUUUUCUUUAGUUAAAGUGGAUUGUAAGUUAACUUUAUUUUUUGGAGUAUAGUAUAACUAUACUUCAAAAAUUACGUCAUUUUUUUUUUUUCUUCCAAACGCUUCAUAGGAUUUUUUUUCUACCGGCGCAGUAUAAUUUAACUAUGCUACGUUUUUAGAGGUAUCCAAACGGGUUUGAUUUUGUUAUUAUACAAUGUUCUGAGAUUGACCCUUUUAACUUUCCGAGUAGUUUGAAUGUUGUAAUUUUAGUUGCCGAAAUUAGUAAAUUUACUUUAAAUCAAAAUAAUUGAAAGUUAAAAGAAUCUCAAUCGAAUUUGAAACAAAAAAAUUUUUUUACUCCAGCUAGUUUCGGACAACCAAUUAGCAUGCGCAUAACCAUCAAUGCGCGAACUAUAAAGUAGAAUCAGAAACAUAAAGUCAAAUUAAAAUAGAAAGCUUUUUAUCAUGGUUAGAGCAAGCACAUGUACUGCACGAACUCGUGUGUGCCAUCGCAUGAUCAUGGAGCCCCAUCACACCCCCAUGUGAGGAGCCAAACACCAAAAACCCCACGUUACGCCCCACCAACACGCAUAAUUGGACGCUGUCUACAUUGUACCUAGCUCUUAAAUAUCCUCCCCGUAUUCUCGAUCUAUCUAGAAAAUUUUCGUAUCCGAUCGGUUUGUUUUAUCGAAAAUUUUUUAAGAAAAUAAGAAAGUGAUAAUCCGUCGUCGCUCAGACCAUCGACUUGAGGUGCUAAGACAUAGAUAACGAGUAUUUUGCAUAGUUGUAUGCUCUUUCUAGAUCCAAGGAAACACCUACAUGUUCUUUUCUGAAGCGUCAAAGAUGAUAUACAUUCAUAGUUACAUAAUUUGAUGGUAAAACUAUGUUUUAGAGGGGAAAGGAAAAUCUCAAAACGCUCAUGUUCACAUCAAGACCUUAGUUGUCAUUGCAAGCAUGCAGUAAGAUAAGCUCGCACAAAUUAUACGUGGAAAGAAUGAUUUGGUAAUAAAACAUUAAAAACAAAAACAAAACAAAACAAAAAAAAAAAAGAAAGCAAAAGAAAAAGGUGUUAGAAGCUCCGGAAAGCAAUCCAAAAGGCUGGUAGUUUAUGAACUGCAUUCGUAGGUCUCCUACAAAAUCUCUUGCGUAAAAUGGAGGGUGGAAGCUCUUGAUCACCCUUUCAUAAUCAUUGAUAAUUGAGAUGGCAACUCAAAAUUUAAUAUGGGANGAGAGAACGAAGCGGAGAGAGAAAGAGGAAAGAGAAAAAGUAAUAAGGGUAUUUUGGUCAGUUUGCUGAAAAAGCGGACCGAAUUUGCAAAAACGAAAAAUGUGGCCCGGUUUUGCAAAAGCCCAAAAUAAGUGGAUUUUUUAUGCAAAUUGGCCAAAUAAUAUUUAUAAGUUCCAAAUUAUUAUUAAUAAUUUUUAAAUACUAAUUUUUAUAAUUUUGAUUUGAUUUAGUGUAAAGAAGAAGCAUAUAACGAUGAAUCAAAAAGAAAUGAAUCCAAAACCUUCUUUCAGAUGAAAUAUAUUUCAAUAAAUUUAAAAAUAUUUUUUUUCUACUAAUUUUAUUUUAUUUUAUUUUAAUUGCUAUGUUUUUAAAAAUUUAAUUUUGAUGUAGAAAAGAAGAAACCGAAGUCCGUUAUAAAUCAUCGAAUAACAAAACCAACUCCAACGAAAUCACCUUCAUAUUUCCUUUCUUUUUCUUUUAUUCUCGUAUUAAAUUAUUUUUUUAAUUUCUAUUUAUGCAAUAAUUUUUAUUUUUCUAGUUCUUUCUUUUCGUUUUUUCUUUGUCCUCUACUGAAUUAUAUUCUCAUUCUAAUUUUUCUUAAUAUAUUUUUUAUAUUAUUAACCAAUCAUAUUUUUAAUUUUUUAUAUUUAAUUUAUAAAUUUUUAUUAUAAUGUCUAUCCCCCGCAUCGCGAUAGGUCCUAAAUUAGUCUAGAAUGCAAUAAUUACAUAUUUAAUGUAGUGUCCCCAACUAAUCAAAAUUUCUUUUUGAGAUUCACCAAUUCCAUUAUAAAUAAAAGAAAACUAAUUUUAUUAUUUUUUUAAAAAAAAUAAUAAAUACGGUUGGCUGAAGAUAGAUAAUACAGUAUAAAUAUUAAAUAAUAAACUGUAGAUUUUAUUGGACACCGGUCCCGGUUGCAGGACAUUUUGUUGGCGAAGAAGCUGGAAAACACUUCCUUAUCACCUCAAAACGCGCCAUUGCCCCCCACAAUUAAAGAAUUAAAAAUAUAUUAAAUACCCUGUUGAGACCAUUUAUUAUAACCCGUACCCUACUGAUUUGAGACGAGAUUUAUGCAUGAUUAAAACGAGAUUUAUUGCCGAUUUUUGUGGAUCUGAAUGUCGAAAGUGAAUCAUAAACAGUGGUUGAGAAACUUGUACGGUGUGGGAUGCUUUUACCGGUAUAUAGGAGCAGUAAUAACUGAGAGCAAAUCAUUCGUUUAUUAAUUAGGCCCUGUUUGGAUGCAUAGUUAAAAAAUUUUAAAAAAUUUUUAUUUUAUGGUUUUAGAGGUUUUAGUCUGAAUGAAAUAUGAAAUUCUGUAACUAUAAAAAAAUUCCAUAGCAUUAUUUUUAACCUGUUUGGAUACAUAUCAUACAAUUCCAUAAUAUUUAUAACAAUUAAAUUUCUAAAAUUUUAAAAUUUAAAAUUCAAAACUCAAAAUUCAAAAUUUAAAAAUAAAAUUUUAAAAAUUAAAAUUCAAAAUUCAAAAUAUAAAAUUAAAAUUAAAAAUUAAAAUUAAAAAAUUAAAUUAGAUUUUAUGUUUUAAAUUUGAAAUUUGGAAUUUGGAAUUUAAAAUUUAAAUUUUGAAAUUUGAAAAUUUAAAUUUUAAAAUUUAAAGUAUACCAUUUAAAAUUUAAAAAAUGUAUAAUUAAAAUUUUAAAUUUUAAAUUUAAUAAUUUAUAAAUUUACAUAUUUAUAAAUUUAAAUUUUAAAAUUUAAGUUUAAAUUUAAAUUUUGAAAAUUGAAAAUUAAAAAUUAAAAAUUUGAAAUUUGAAAAUUUGAAGUUUGAAAUUUGAAAAUUUUUGAAAUUUAAAAACCUUUAAAAUUUUGAAAUUGAAAUUUGAAAUUCGAAAUUUGAAAUCUAAACUUUUUGAAAUUUGAAAUUUGAAAUUCGAAUAUUCAAAAUUUGAAUUUGGAAUUUGAAAUUUAAAAUUUAAACUUUUAUGAAAUUUGAAAUUUAAAAUUUGAAAUUUCAAAAUUUAAAAUCAAAAUAAAGAUUGAAUUUUUAAAAUUUUAAUUUGAAAUUUAAAUUUUAUGUUGAAAUUUAAAAUUUAGAAAUUGUACAUCUUUGGAGCACAAAAUGGGAAUUUUUUUUCUUUAGUUUAAAGUGGAUUGUAAGUUAACUUUAUUUUUUGGAGUAUAGUAUAACUAUACUUCAAAAAAUUACGUCAUUUUUUUUUUUUCUUCCAACGCUUCAUAGGAUUUUUUUCUACCGGCGCAGUAUAAUUUAACUAUGCUACGUUUUUAGAGGUAUCCGAAACGGGUUUGAUUUUGUUAUUAUACAAUGUUCUGAGAUUGACCCUUUAACUUUUCCGAGUAGUUUGAGAUGUUGUAUUUUAGUUGCCGAAAUUAGUAAAAUUUACUUUAAAUCAAAAUAAUUGAAAGUUAAAAGAAUCUCAAUCGAAUUUGAAACAAAAAAAUUUUUUUACUCCAGCUAGUUUCGACAACAAUUAGCAUGCGCAUAACCAUCAAUGCGCGAACGUAUAAAGUAGAAUCAGAAACAUAAAGUCAAAUUAAAAUAGAAAGCUUUUUAUCAUGUUAGAGCAAGCACAUGUACUGCACGAACUCGUGUGUGCCAUCGCAAUGAUCAUGGAGCCCCAAUCACACCCCAUGUGAGGAGCAAACACCAAAACCACGUUACGCCACCAACAGCAUAAUUGGACGCUGUCUACAUUGUACCUACUCUUAAAUAUCCUCCCGUAUUCUCGAUCUAUCUAUAAAAUUUUCGUAUCCGAUCGGUUUGUUUAUCGAAAAUUUUUAAAGAAAAUAAGAAGUGAUAAUCCGUCGUCGCUCAGACCAAUCGACUUGAGGUGCAAGACAUAGAUAACGAGUAUUUUGCAUAGUUUGUAUGCUCUUUCUAGAUCCAAGGAGACGACCUUACAUGUUCUUUUCUGAAGCGUCAAAGAUGAUAUACAUUCAUAGUUACAUAUUGCAUGGUAAAACUAUGUUUUAGAGGGAAAGUGAAAUCUCAAAACGCUCAUGUUCACAUCAAAGACCUUAGUUGUCAUUGCAAGCAUGCAGUAAGAUAAGCUCGCACAAAUUAUACGUGAAAGAAGGAUUUGGUAAUAAACAUUAAAAACAAAACAAACAAAACAAAAAAAAAAAAGAAAGCAAAAGAAAAAGGUGUUAGAAGCUCCGGAAAGCAAUCCAAAGGCUGUAUUUUAUGAACUGCAUUCGUGCGUCUCCUACAAAAUCUUUGCGUAAAAUGGAGGGUGGAAGCUUCUUGAUCACCCUUUCAUAAUCAUUGAUAAUUGAGAUGGCAAACUCAAAAUUUAAAUAAUGGGAUAUCUUCUAUAUUUUUAAGUUUCAAUUAGCGUAGUAGAGAGACAGACGAUCAUAGAGGAUCGUUUGUGGUGAGAAAUAACGAGAUAAGAGAAGAGAGGAGGCAAGAAUACAGACGUAAGGCCGCACAACUUUAAUGACAAGCUCUUGGAUAGAAGUGAGUAGAGGCUGAUGAUAGUGGCUAGUACCAUUAUCGCCGGCUACAGGCACCUCCGACGACAUUUAUUGCAAAUCAAAAAAGCAACCUCUGACGACAUUUAUUGCAAAUCAAAGAAAGGAAGAGAAGAGAUGGGUGGAUAGGAAGUACAGAUAAAGAAGGUGAAAAAAAAUAAACAAAUGUACAUAAAAUAGAUAAGGAUGUGAUGAAAUAGUAGUCUCAUUACCGUUUUAGCCCUCACCGGAUCCAUUGUUUACGGCAAAAGAGGAUGGCAUGAUUAAAUAAAAAGAAAAACACUUGCAUACAAUAUAUAAAUAAGUAUGGGAGGGGAGGAGUUACUAUACAUUAUCUGUCGAGAAAAAAAAAAGAUAUAUAUAUAUGAAGAUUUAAAAGAAGUAAAGGAGAAGAGAUCGAUGGGCUCAGUAUGGGACCGUACGAAAUACGCUAUAAUGACAGCCAUCGUCAUGAAGAAUGUCACUCCUAACAACGUUAUAAGUCGUACUCACAGCAAGAGAGAACUAUGCCUUGUGAGAAACGAGAAAAAAGAAGAGCUGGGGCCGGGGGGGGGGGGGAGCUCAUGAGAAGGUUACUCUCAACAACGUUAUAAGUCGAACUUGGUAUAAGAAACCAUCUCAUGAAGAAGGUCACUCUCAACAACGUUAUAAAGUCGAACUUUGAAAAGAGAACUGUGCUCGCGAGAAAGAGAAAGACAGGUGGGGGGAAAGGGGGGAGCAAGGUUGGACAAUACAAAACAUCAACACAUAUACCGUUUAGAACUAACAGUAUGUUAUUUUAUAGAUUGUAAACAAAUAAUUAAUAUUUGUUAAACCUUUAGUCAUAUCUCAGUACAAAUGUAAAAUAUAAUAUAUUUCGCAUUUAUUUUAUCUAUUUGUUUUUUAAAUUAAUGUAAGAAGAAAAUUCAUAUUUAUUAAAUUUUUAGCUAUAUUUUACAAAUAUGAUCAAUGAUAAAAAGUGAAAUUGAUGUGAUAAUUUAUAAUUAAAUAAAGCAUACGCCAAUAUAAAUACCUAAUAAUUUAAUAUAAUCCAACUAUAUAUGUACUACAUGAAGCUGUAAAUAUUGGAUCAUUUUAAGACUUUUUCUUAUCACAUUCAAAUUUAUUUCAUAAUUUUGUAAAGCAUGUAUAUAGAUAUUAUUCAUUUUAAAGCACAAAAUAAAAUUUCGACCCUCGAAUUAAAUAAUUUUUUAGCUAUUGUAAAAUAAAUAUUUUUGCACAAACUAGUUGGGCGUACAAGCAAAUACACGUGUCACAAUUAUUUUAAUGGUGCAUCAGAUUUAUCUAAAAAUUACAAUAAAAUAUUAUUUUUUUAAAAAAAAUAAAUUUAUUUGUUAUAUUUUGAGUAGAAAAAUCUGCAACAUCCUAUGUAAUAUUUUUUUCUUUUUAUGUAUAUUGAAUAUUUCUUUAUGUUUUUUGAAUUCUCACAAACCGAAAAUUUUUGUAUGUGUUUUAAACUAAAAGUAUCAAAAUUUUAAUUCACCUUUAAUUCAGAUUUAAAUUUUAAUUAAUCCAUUUUAAUCAAAAUAUUUAAUUAUUAAUUCAAUUUGAUAUCCAAAAUCAAAUUUAAGUCACGCUUCAAACUAAAAUUGGAAUUUAAAAACUCUUAAAUUUAAAUUAAAUUUAAGUUGUAUAUUUAAAUUUCAAUAUUAAUUUAAGAUGAAACAAAAUUUUAAAAUUAAAUAAGAUUGAAAUUUAAAUGUAUAUUUAAAAUUAAAUUCCAAUUUGAUUGUUUGUUACAAUCAACAAAAAGUUAAUGUAACAGCUAAAUAUUAGUACCCAAAAUUAAGAUAAUAUGAAAAUAUUCACCUGAAAAGAAAAAAUAUGGAAUAAUAUAACAAUAUUUAAUAGGAAAAGUAAAGGUUAUUCAUUAGAGAAAAAGAGAAACUAAAAUUUCUUUCGUCACAUUAUUUGUUUGCAUACGUAAGGAAAAAAAAAAAACCAAAAGUUUUUUUCGUUUAAGAAGUGGUUUGUUCGACAUUCCAAAAAUCAAGAUAUGUGUUUUUAUAUAUUGUAUAGAUAUUUCGUUUGUACGUAUUGAAAAGUUAGUUCUAUAUAUAUUGCAAACUUGAUCAUGAUGUAUGAACUUGAAAGCAGCCGGGUAGAAUUUCGAACUUUACAACUUAUACCAUUAAUUAGGACAACCACAAAUCCUCAAAAGGGUUUUUUUUUUUUAGAGAAAAAUACCAUGCUAUCGCUUCGGUUAUUUUUUUUAGAAAUGAAUUUAGCUGAAAAUGUGAAGCAAUUAAGAUUCGAACUUGGAACCUCGAGUACCACCCAGUAAAUUCUUUACCACUUGCAUUGGAAACAGUCGAUGCAAAUUUUGCAGAGUUAGCAUAGAUUUUUCAGUAGUAUAUAUAUAUAUAUAUAUGUAGGAGGCAUAUGGAGCGUGCCUUUAGGGCAAAAGCUACAAUGGAACUCAUGCUCGUCUCCUCCUCAUCCUUCAAGCAUUCUCUCUUCUCCACCACCCCAUAUAGUAGUUCCCUAAGGUCCUCACGAGCUCUCGUGAUUAAUUGUUGCCACUCUCCAAAGCCUAGGUGUGCAUGCACGAUCACUUUCUCUUCGAUUCUUUGCUUUCAUUUGUUAUUAUUAUUUUCAAUGCUUACCACAUUUUUUCCUUUUUUUUUUCCUGGGUCAUUUCAAUGUUAAUACAUGUAAGUGGAUGCAUGCGUUCAUGCGCAGGAAAUCGGGCAAAGAUGUGGUAAUAAGGGGCAGUGUGCAGUAUCAGGAGAAGCUGGAGGUGUUGAAGUCGAUGGAGGGGUGGGUGGAGGACAACAUCUUGACCCUCCUCAAGCCCGUCGAGAGCUCGUGGCAGCCGCAGGACUUCCUCCCGGACUCCUCGUCAUCGUCGGCGGAGGAAUUCUUCGACGCCGUGCGAGAGCUCAGGGAGCGGGCGGCGGGGAUCCCCGACGAGUACUACGUGUGCCUGGUGGGCAACAUGGUGACGGAGGAGGCGCUGCCGAUGUACCAGAGCAUGGCGAACAGGUUCGACGGGGCAAACGACGAGACAGGGGCCAGCGCCACCUCGUGGGCGCAGUGGAACCGGGGCUGGUCCGCCGAGGAGAACCGACACGGCGACGUGCUCACCCGCUACCUCUACCUCAGCGGCAGGCUGGAUAUGCGCCAGGUCGAGAGAACCAUUCAGCACCUCAUCGGUUCAGGAAUGGUACGUACGCACGCACGUACGUACGUAAUGCUUUUAAAAACACCAAAUACUUCGCGUUUAUAAAUUUUUCAUAAUUAAAUUUAUUCUUUUGAUAUAUUAAUUCUAUCUGUUAAAUCAUAUUAUUUUACUGGUUAUUCACUAAAUCUUAGGAACUACGUACUAUUAUUACAACUUUAUAAAUCUUCAUUAAAAAUCGAAAAUUCAUAAGGGAGCAUACUAUAUCUAUUUAUAUGUGUAUAUACACACACACACACACACGUACUAACUAAACAAAACAUAUUUGAUAUAUUUGGGUACAAAUGUGGAACGAAGAUACUGCAAGAAGCGCACGAUGCCUACCGGGGCUUCGUGUUCACGUCGUUCCAGGAGAGGGCGACGUUCGUGUCGCACGGCAACACGGCGCGGCACGCCAAGGAGCACGGCGACGCCACCCUGGCCAGGAUCUGCGGGCUCAUCGCGGCCGACGAGCGGCGCCACGAGACAGCCUACACGAGGAUCGUGGCGAAGCUGUUCGAGCUCGACCCCGACAACGCCGUGCGCGCAUUCGCCGGCAUGAUGAGGGAGAGCGUCACGAUGCCGGGGCUCCUCAUGUUCGACGGCCGCGACCGCGACCUCUUCGGGCACUACUCUGCGGUGGCGCAGCGGCUCGGGGUGUACACGGCCGGGGACUAUGCGGACAUCGUGGAGCACUUCGUGAAGAGGUGGCGGGUGGAGGAUGUGGGGCCGGGGUUGACCGGGGAGGGGAGGCGGGCGCAGGACUAUGUAUGCGGCCUCCCGCAGAGAAUCAGGAAAAUGGUGGAGAGGGCGCAGGAAAGGAGCGCACGGGAGUCGCGGUUGCUUCCCUUCAGUUGGAUUUUUAACAGAGAAGUCCUCGUGUGAAAUCUAUUUUCCAUUUCCCUCCUGCAUUGUUAUUUUCCUACUAGAGCAUAAAAGGGUUGGAUGGUUUUUCAGAAAAAGUGUCUAAAAAAUAUUUUUGGAGAAAAAAAAUUUUAUCGGAAUUUUUUUUUUUUCAGCUUCGCGUCUAUUUGGUUUUUUAAAAAAACAAAAUUAGCUUUUUUGUUUUCAAAUUUUAUGAAAAAACAGUGUUCUUGUUUUCCUUUUUUUUUCCUAAAAUAAUGAAAACACUAGUUUUUCAUAAUAUCCGGAAACAAGCUAUUUCAAAAAGUUAGUUUUUUUAAACAAAAAGAAAAGAAAGCUGAAAAGAAAUUUCUUAUAAAAUUUUUUUUCUGGCAUAAAAAUUUUUUACACUUUUUUGAGAAACCAAACAUCCCCUAAAUUAUUGUCCCUUUUUUUUAUUCGUGUGAAAGUAAUUUACCCUUUGGAUUGUCAAGUUAUAGGAUUAUUAUCUUUUUUAGAUUGUAAUUCUAGUAUUUCUCUGAGAAUAAAUGCGUUAAAAAAGUGAUGAUUGUGUGUAUAUAUUAAAAAAACAAGGCAAACAUUUUAGGGAUGAAAAAAAAGAGAAAAAACUACAAAAAAGAAGAGAAUGUAUACAAUAGACCUAUAUUAGAAAUAUUAUUAUAAUUAUUUAUAGAUUUGUGACAAGUGAACUUUUUUUAGAAGAGAAUGUAAUCUAGUAGAAGAGGUGUUUCCUUUUGUUUACAUCAACCCAACUGGGAAAGAACUUUGCCCUAAACUUCAACAAACAGGGGAAAAACACAAAAGAGAAUCUUUCUUGGAUAUUUUCCUGCAGUGUUAUCUGACAAGUUAUACUUUCAUUUUGUAACACUAUUUUUUUUUUGAUAAAAAUGUAUGGAAUUUAUUUGUACUAUAAAUCAUUUUGAAUUAACUGCUUAACUUUUCAAAUUUUUGAUUUUAUUAUUCAAUUUUUCAAUUUAUCUGAUUUAAAUCGGUCAAUAAUACUUCGACUUCAAAAUUUAAACUAAUUACGUACUCUAAUAUAUACAUAGUUUCGAGAAUAGUAGAAAUAUACUAAUGUAAAAAUAAACGAUAAAUUUAAAUUUUAAAAUCAAAUUGCCGUUUGCAGACUCAAAUCAGUACCAUAUAACCAUAUAACCCAAUCAGAUGACACUGGAAUAUUUGUCACUAAUAUAUUAAUUAAUCACUACCAUCAAUGCACGAAUUGUAAAGCGGAGUUGGGGACAUAAAAGCCAAAAAAAUAUGAAGCUUCAAUUGUGGGUGCAUGCCAUAGCAUGUUCGUGCAUGGAGCCCCAUCACCUCCCACGUGAGGAGUUAAACACUACAAAAAUACUCAUAAUUUUUCUCAUCGGACAUUGCCUACCUUGUACCUAACUCUUAAAUAUCCUCUGCGUAGAAAAUUUUCGUAUGCGGUGUAUUCGAUUUCGUCGAUAGUGAAAAAGGGGUGAAGUAAUUUUAGAUCGUGAAUAUAUAUAUUUUUACUAUUUGAUUCUCCGCAAUAUGAGUUCGAUCGUAUUUCGAAUUCACCAAAUACCUUCUGUAAUUGACUUUGAUCCAUUUUGGGCCGCGCCGGACUCAGUUAUGAAUAAAAAAUGUAAAGAAAAAAUUAACAAAAUAUUAAUAUUGGGGAUCGAACUUAUUUUUUCCACUUAAUAUUAAUGUGUUGGAAUUCAAUAUUUUUUUGUCAAACAAAAACGGGAAGUAAAGAACUUGGGCUUUUACACCAUUGAUAUCUUUCUAGACAAACAACAUAUAUAAUUGAGUAAAGGUUAGUUUCCCGGUAUUAACAACUAAUUAUAGGGGAGAAGUAAAUCUCCUCCAUUAAGAAAGAUUCUUAGUUCAAUUUAAUAUCCGUCAUUUAAUAACAUAGUUUUCUGUUUCUUGUUCCUUUCGUUAUCUCUGUUUUAAUCAAGAUUUAUCAGACAUCUUUUAGACUGAUGAACAGUAUUAGUAUUAGAAUUAUUUUAAACUAAUUCCUAUAGAAUUGACUUGUGUGUAUCUAACGCGCCCUUACAUUUUUUGGACGGGAAAUAUUACCAACAUUAUUAAAAAAUAUAUAGCCUAUUCUUUUUCUCAUCAUCACUUUUUUUUUUUUUUUGCUAAAUUACAUAAAACCUUCUGUCAAAACGCGAUUUUUCACUUUUCCCCCGUCAUUUAAAAGCCUACACUUUACCCCCUUGUAAAAUGAAAAAUGUUUACAGGACGGUACGGUGUGUACUGUGAUGAUAAAAUGACCAUUUCGUCCCUCAUCAUUUUCGUCUUCUCCCUCAUCUUCCUCAACAGCAACCUCGAUCGGCUGCGAAGUUUCUUCGCGGUUCACGCCUCAUCUUCCUCUUGCACCCUCGCCGCCCCUCGAUUUCGGCCGGAUGAAAAUCGAGGUGGGGGUGGAUGGAGAGAUGGGUAACGACAACGAGGGCGAAGGCGCGGCGGCGGAGGAGGGCGAAGAGGUGUUUGUGGGCGUGGACGGGGAUGUAGGCGAGGGCGAGGUAGUGGAGGAGGACGAGGCGGCAAGACGGAGGAAGCGAAGCAACAAGGAAGAGAGCGGAGGGGUAUUUUGGGCAUAAAAAAAUAUUUUAUAACAAAACCCUAACGGAUCACUAACGAUAGGGGGCGAAAUGAACAUUUUUUAUUUUACAAGGGGGCAAAGUGUAUAUUUUUAAAUGACAGAAGAAAAAAAUAAAAAAUCACCUUUUGACAUAGAGAUUUUCUCUAAUUUAGCUUUUUUUUUUCCCCUCUUUUUAAGCAGAAUAGAAUAAAGUCCAACAUGCAUUUAAUUAUAUGGUAUAUUGGUUUUGGAAUUUGGAUUAGCUUCGAGUGUCAAUUUAUGUUCCCCUUGUGGGACUAUGGCCCAGUGUGCAACUGCAACGGAACGGGACAGAGGGGUCUGCUUUAAUUGAUGGUGUGGAAUUUUGGACUUUAACAUGCAUGCACGAGUUUUGUACGGUUGCGUUAAUGUCUCGUUUUGACGUUUGUGGUGUGGGUAGAUGGAGACGCAAACAAUAUAUAUAUAAAAUUAUCAAUUUUGAGACAUUUUGGUUACUGGUCAAAUAAUAUUAAAAAAAUUUUAAAUUUAGUUUUCAAAUACUUUCAAUAAUAUAGAUUAAGUGUAACGAAACCAAUCAUCGAUUUGGAAGCCGCAUCAUCGAAAACAACUUGGUAGUAUAGCAACCAGACUCUAUAUAUAUAUAUAUAUAGAGAGAGAGAGAAAGAGAGAGAGAGUUCUAUUACUAUAUAUAUUAUCGAUAGUGAUCAAACGUUUUGUGCUAUCGAAUUUUUUGUUAUUAAAUUUAUCUCUUUGACUAAUUUUAUCCAUUAUAUUAUACUAUUAAACUAACCAUUCACUCAAUUUUAGAUAAUCACUAUUAUUCUAAACGCGCAUCUUUUCAUCUAAGAAUCAAAAAUCGCUUAGUACUAUAAUAGUAUAGUAGUCUAAUUUUAUAUAUAUAUAUAAAAUUAAAAUUAAACUUACAUGUACGCACCUUGCCCAUUACUACAACUGUGCGUCUCUUUAAUUACAGUGAAACAGUAUAUAUAGUUUGUACCUACAGUAGACACAAGGAGGACCAAGAAUUACAACGUAAGAUCGUGUUUACACUGUUUAGCUUUGAUUGUUUGAAUGGUACACGUCAUGUGUACACUUUUGGCGCUCAUCCAAUUACGCACUCAGGAGUAUAAUGAUUUGGCUCACUGAUUAGUGGAACUAUUCUACAAGCCUUAAUAACGAGAGUUUAAAGCUUUUUUCUUUAAAACUAUACAUCUUUGUAGGAUUGCGUGAAUCAUAUUUUAGAACAGACCUUUUUUGAACAUAGUUGGAGCUCAAGUUAACGCAAAGGGCAAUCAGGUCUAGCCUAGGAGUUAUUAGUUAAUUUGCGUGGAUCUCGGAGGUUGAACUUGCGAUCGAACUUGAGAAAUCGAUGGUGCUGAGAUUCGUUCUCACUCGUAUUUAUGUAGAGAUCAAUUUUUCAACUUCAGCGGGAUUGGACAGAAAGUUUAGUUGAUAGAACGCGCUAUUAAUUUACUCUCGGACUUCUAAGCAAGUAGUUAGGUUGGGGAACAUGACAUGAAUUUUAAAUCUUGGGUAGUUGUGUGGAUUUAACAUGAAUUUGUUAGUCCCAUACCCACAAAGUGGGACGAAGCAUGCGCUUUCUAUAUAUAGCUAGAUCCAAGGAAACACCUACAUGUUCUUUUUUGAAGCGUCAAAGAUGAUAUACAUUCAUAGUUACAUAUUUUGAUAAAACUAUGUUUUAGAAGGGAAAGGAAAAUCUCAAAACUCUCAUAUUCACAUCAAAACCUUAGUUGUCAUUGCACGCAUGCAGUAAGAUAGGCCUGCACAAAUUAUACAUGGAAAGAAUGAUUUGGUGAUAAAACAUUAAAAACAAAAACAAAACAAAAAAAAGAAAGCAAAAGAGAAAGGAGCUAGAAGGUUCGGAAAGCAAUCCAAAAGGCUGGUAGUUUAUGAACUACAUUCGUAGAUCUCCUACAAAAUCUCUUGCGUAAAAUGGAGGGUGGAAGCUCUUGAUCACCCUUUCAUAAUCAUUGAUAAUUGAGAUGGCAACUCAAAAUUUAAUAUGAAAAUAUCUUCUAUAUAUUUUUAGUUUCAAUUACGUAGUAGAGAGACACAGAUUAUAGAGAAUUGUUGUGGGAGGAGAAUAACGAGAUAGAGAAAGAUAGGAGCANCCUACAAAAUCUCUUGCGUAAAAUGGAGGGUGGAAGCUCUUGAUCACCCUUUCAUAAUCAUUGAUAAUUGAGAUGGCAACUCAAAAUUUAAUAUGGGAUUAUCUUCUAUAUUUUUUUAGUUUCAAUUACGUAGUAGAGAGACACAGAUUAUAGAGAAUUGUUGUGGGAGGAGAAUAACGAGAUAGAGAAAGAUAGGAGCAAGAAUACAGAGGUAAGGCCGUACAACUUUAACGACAAGCUCUUGGAUAGAAGUGAGUAGAGGCUGAUGAUAGCGGCCAGUCCCAUUAUCGCCGGCUACAAGCACCUCCGACGACAUUUAUUGCAAAUAAAAAAAAGCACCUCCGACGAUAUUUAUUGCAAAUCAAAGAAAGGAAGAGAGAGGAUGGGUGGAUAGGAAGUACAGAUAGAGAAAGUGAAAAAAAUAAAUAAAAGUACAUAAAAUAGAUAAGGAUGAUGAGGAAUAAUAAUCUCAUUACCGUUUUAGUCCUCACCGGAACCAUCGUUUACGGCAAAAGAGGAUGGCAUGCAUUAAAUACAAAAGAGAAAAACGGCUGCAUACAAUAAAUAUAAUAAUGAACGGGAGGGGAGGAGCUUACUAUACAUUAUCUGUCGAGAAAAAAAAAAGGAUAUGAGAGAUUUAAAAGAGGUAAAGAAGAAGAGAUCGAGGGCUCAGUAUGGGACCGUACGAAGAUACGCUAUAAUGACAGCCAUCUCAUGAAAAAUGUCACUCUCAACAAUUAACAUUAUAAGUCGUACUCACAGCUAGAGAGAACUAUACUUGCAAGAAAGAGAAAAAAGAAGGGGGGGGGGGAGAGAAGGUUGGUAUAAUGACAACCAUCUCAUGAAGAAGGUUACUCUCAACAACGUUAUAAGUCGAACUUACAGUGAAAGAGAACCGUGCCUGCGAGAAAGAGAAAGAAGGGAUGGGGGGGAAGGGGGGCGAAAGGUUGGACAAUACAGUAAAUCGACACAUAUACCGUUUAGAACUAAUGGUAUGUUAUUUUUUAUAGAUUAAUGUAAACAAAUAAUUAAUAUUUGUUAAACUUUUAGUCAUAUCUCAUACAAAUGUAAAAUAUAAUAUAUUUCGCCUUUAUUUUAUCUAUUUAUUUUUUAAAUUAAUGUAAGAAGAAAAUUCAUAUUUAUUAAAUUUUUAGCUAUAUUUUACAAAUAUGAUAUAAUGAUAAAAAGUAAAAUUGAUGUGAUAAUUGAUAAUUAAAUAAAGCAUACGUCAAUAUAAAUACCUAAUAAUUUAAGAUAAUCCAACUAUGUACUACAUGAAGCUGUAAAUAUUGGAUCAUUUUAAGACUUUUUCUUAUCACAUUCAAAUUUAUUUCAUAAUUUUGUAAAGCAUGUAUAUAGAUAUUAUUUAUUUUAAAGCACGAAAUAAAAUUUCGAACCUCGAAUUAAAGAAUUUUUUAGCUAUUGUAAAAUAAAUAUUUUUGCAGACACUAGUUGGGUGUACGAGCAAAUAGGUGUCACAAUUAUUUUAAUAGUGCAUCAGAUUUAUCUAAAAAUUACAAUAAAAUAUUAUUUUUUUUUAAAAAAAGUAAAUUUAUUUGUUAUAUUUUGAGUAGAAAAAUCUGCAACAUCCUAUGUUAUAUUUUUUUUCUUUUAUGUAUAUUGAAUAUUUCUUUAUGUUUUUUGAAUUCUCAUAAACCAAAAAUUUAUGUAUGUGUUUUAAACUAAAAGUAUCAAAAUUUUAAUUCACCUUUAGUUCAUAUUUAAAAUUUAAUUAAUCCAUUUUACUUAAAAUAUUUAAUUAUUAAUCGAAAUUUAAGUCACGCUUCAAACUAAAAUUUGAACUUAAAAACUCUUAAAUUUAAACUAAAUUUAAGUUGUAUAUUUAAAUUUCAAUAUUAAUUUAAGUGAAACAAAAUUUUAAAAUUAAAUAAAAUUGAAAUUUAAAUAUAUAUUUAAAAUUAAAUUCUAAUUUGAUUGUUUGUUACAAUCAACAAAAAGUUAAUGUAACGACUAAAUAUUAGUACACAGAAUUAAGAUAAUCUGAAAAUAUUCACCUAAAAAGAAAAAAUAUGGAAUAAUAUAACAAUAUUUAAUAGGGAAAGUAAAGGUUAUUCAUUUGAGAAAAAGAGAAACUAAAAUUUUUUUCGUCACAUUAUUUGUUUGCGUAAGAAAAAAACGAAACCAAAAGUUUUUUUUUUGAGAGAUAGAUAGCACGGUACCCGCUUCGUUUAUUUCAUUUAAAAAUAAACUUAGCUAAAAAAGUGAAUCAACUAGGAUUCAAACUUGGGUCUCGGCUACCAACAAUCAGGCCCUUUGCCACUUGCUCUAGGGACGGUCGGUAAAACCAAAAGUUUUUUUCAUUUAAGAAAUAGUUUGUUCGACAUUCUAAAAUUCAAUAUACGUGCUUUUAUAUAUUGUAUAUAUAUUUCGUAUAUAAGUAUCGAAAAGUUAAUUCUAUAUAUAUUGCAAACUUGAUCAGGAUGUAUAAACUUGAAAGUGGCCGGGUAGAAUUUUGAACUCUACAACUUAUACCAUUAAUUAGGACAACCACAAAUCCUGCUGAGUUUUUUUUUGAAAGAAAGACAGCAAGUUAUUGCUUCGUUUAUUUUUUUUAGAAAUAAAUUUGACUGAAAAUGUGAAUCAAUUAAGAUUCGAACUUAGAAUCUCGAGUAUCAACCACUAAACUCUUUACUACUUACAUUAGGGACCGUCGAUACAAAUAUUGCAGAGUUAGCAUGGAUUUUUCAGUAGUAUAUAUAUAUAUAUAGGAGGCAUAUGGAGAGUGCUUUAGGUGCAUAUUGUGUUGGAGACUCGAAACUCCAUACUUUUGAGGGCAAAAGCUAGAUAUGGAACUCACGCUCGUCUCCUCCUCAUCCUUCAAGCAUUCUCUCUUCUCCACCACCCCAUAUAGUAGUUCCCUAAGGUCCUCACGAGCUCUCGUGAUUAAUUGUUGCCACUCUUCAAAGCCUAGGUGUGCAUGCACGAUCACUUUCUCUUCGAUUCUUUGUUUUCAUUUCUUAUUAUUAUUUUCAAUGCUUACCACAUUUUUUCCUUUUUUUUUUCCUGGGUCAUUUCAAUGCUAAUACAUGUAAGUGGAUGCAUGCGUUCAUGCGCAGGAAAUCGGGCAAAGAUGUGGUAAUAAGGGGCAGUGUGCAGUAUCAGGAGAAGCUGGAGGUGUUGAAGUCGAUGGAGGGGUGGGUGGAGGACAACAUCUUGACCCUCCUCAAGCCCGUCGAGAGCUCGUGGCAGCCGCAGGACUUCCUCCCGGACUCCUCGUCAUCGUCGGCGGAGGAAUUCUUCGAUGCCGUGCGAGAGCUCAGGGAGCGGGCGGCAGGGAUCCCCGACGAGUAUUACGUGUGCCUGGUGGGCAACCUGGUGUCGGAGGAGGCGCUGCCGACGAACCAGAGCAUGGCGAACAGGUUCGACGGGGCAAACGACGAGACAGGGGCCAGCGCCACCUCGUGGGCGCAGUGGAACCGGGGCUGGUCCGCCGAGGAGAACCGACACGGCGACGUGCUCACCCGCUACCUCUACCUCAGCGGCAGGCUGGAUAUGCGCCAGGUCGAGAGAACCAUUCAGCACCUCAUCGGUUCAGGAAUGGUACGUACGCACGCACGUACGUACGUAAUGCUUUUAAAAACACCAAAUACUUCGUGUUUAUAAAUUUUUCAUAGUAAAAUCUAUUCUUUUGAUUAAUUCUAUCUGUUAGAUCAUAUUAUUUUACUGAUUAUUCACUAAAUCCUAGAGACUAGGUACUAUUAUUACAACUUUAUAAAUCUUUAUUAAAAAUCAAAAAUUCAUAAGGGAAUAUACUAUAUAUAUUUAUAUGUGUAUAUACACGCACACGUACUAACUAAACAAAACAUAUUUGAUAUAUUUGGGUACAAAUGUGGAACGAAGAUACUGCAUGAAGCUCACGAUGCCUACCGGGGCUUCGUGUACACGUCGUUCCAGGAGAGGGCGACGUUCGUGUCGCACGGCAACACGGCGCGGCACGCCAAGGAGCGCGGCGACAUCACCCUGGCCAGGCUCUGUGGGCUCAUCGCGGCCGACGAGCGGCGCCACGAGACCGCGUACACAAGGAUCGUGGAGAAGCUGUUCGAGCUCGACCCCGACAACGCCAUGCGCGCAUUCGCCGGCAUGAUGAGGGAGCGCGCCACGAUGCCGGGGCUCCUCAUGUUCGACGGCUGCGACCGCGACCUCUUCAGGCACUACUCUGCGGUGGCGCAGCGGCUCGGGGUGUACACGACCGGGGACUAUGCGGACAUCGUGGAGUACUUCGUGAAGAGGUGGCGGGUGGAGGAUGUGGGGCCCGGGUUGACCGGGGAGGGGAGGCGGGCGCAGGACUAUUUAUGCGGCCUCCCGCAGAGAAUCAGGAAAACGGUGGAGAGGGCGCAGGAAAGGAGCGCACGGGAGUCGCGGUUGCUUCCCUUCAGUUGGAUUUUUAACAGAGAAGUCCUCGUGUAAAAUCCAAUUUCCAUUUCCCUCCUGCAUUGUUAUUUACUUAUUUUCCUAAUAAAAGGGUUGUAUGGUUUUUCAGAAAAGUGUUUAAAAAAUAUUUUUGGAGAAAAAAAUUUUAUCGGAAAUUUUUUUUUUCAGCUUUGCGUCUAUUUGGUUUUUUUUAAAAAAAAAAUUAGCUUUUUUGUUUUCAAAUUUUAUGAAAAACUAGUGUUCUUGUUUUCUAUUUUUUUUCUAAAAUAAUGAAAACACUAGUUUUUCAUAAUAUCCGGAAACAAGCUAUUUCAAAAAGUUAGUUUUAUUUUAACAAAAAGAAAAGAAAGCUGAAAAGAAAUUUCCUAUAAAAAUUUUUUUCUUGCAAAAAUUUUUUUCACACUUUUUCGAGAUACCAAACAUAUAUCCCCUAAAUUAUUGUCUUUUUUUUUUCAUUCGUGUGAAAGCAGUUUCGAAGUAUAAAAAAACCGAAAAUACAGGGGUUAAGGCGAAAUGUUAAGCACGUAACUACCAUCACUAAUUAAUUAUAUAAUCACUGUUUAUAAGGUCACAGUAAACUAACCCAAUAUACCAAUAUACCAUGACUAAACUCAGACGUUUGCCGUUAAACUAAAAUUUUAAAUUUGAAUAACAAAUAAAAAUGUAGAGAUCAAUAAUCAUAUAAAGAUGAUAAGAGCUUUGAUACAUAUAUAAUCACAUAAUAACUGAGUGAAUUUAGUUUAUUUAACUUUUCAACCUAUUAUUUUAGCUUUAAAACUUUUCACUUCGUCAAUUAAGUUUUAUUAAAUAUCAACUUUUUUUAAGAUAUGUAAGAGAAGAUUUUUUUUAAGUGAACAGUGUUUAGAUAUUUAUUAAUAUUAUUAUAAAGAAUUCACUUUAUUUGAUUCGUAAUAAACAUGACUUGAUGACUAUGCUAAAAGACCAAAUGAAAAGAAACCAAAGAGAACCCAUGUAAAAGAAGAAAAAAACAUCAAAAAAAGAAAAAAAAAUAGGGAUUUUAUAAACGGUACAAAAAAAUUAUAUAAAAGAAAAGAUAAAAAAAACGAAAAGCUUUCUAUAAAUAUUAGUAAACUUUAUAUAUGUGUGUCAGUAGUGAGUAGUGAAAAAAUUACGUAAAUAAGAGUCUCUUUAUGAUCUUAAUGUUAGAUUUUUUCUAUUAUUAGGGUAUUGAGCUGUUAGACUUCCCGUUNNNNNNNNNNNNNNNNNNNNNNNNNNNNNNNNNNNNNNNNNNNNNNNNNNNNNNNNNNNNNNNNNNNNNNNNNNNNNNNNNNNNNNNNNNNNNNNNNNNNNNNNNNNNNNNNNNNNNNNNNNNNNNNNNNNNNNNNNNNNNNNNNNNNNNNNNNNNNNNNNNNNNNNNNNNNNNNNNNNNNNNNNNNNNNNNNNNNNNNNNNNNNNNNNNNNNNNNNNNNNNNNNNNNNNNNNNNNNNNNNNNNNNNNNNNNNNNNNNNNNNNNNNNNNNNNNNNNNNNNNNNNNNNNNNNNNNNNNAUUUAUAGAGAGAGAGAGUGAUCUACUGCUAUAUCAUUGAUAGUAUCAAAUAUUUUAUGCUAUCAAAUUUUUUAUUAUUAAAUUUAUUUUUUUAACUAUUUUUAUUUAUUAGAUUAUAUUAUUCAACUAAUCAUUUAUUGAAUUUUAGAAAAUUACUAUUAUUUUAAACGUGCAUUUCAUCCCAGAAACAAAAAACGCACAGUAUUAUAAUAGUAUAGUACUCCAUAUAUAUAUAUAUAUAAUUAAACUUACAUGUACGCACCUUGCCCAUUACUAUUACUGUGCGUCUCCUUAAUUACAGUGAAACUGUAUAGUUCGUACCUACAGUAGACACAAGGGGGACCCAAAAUUACAACGUAAGAUCGUGUUUACACUGUUUAGCUUUGAUUGUUUGAACGGUACACGUCAUGCGUACACUUUUGGCGCUCAUCCAAUUAUGCACUCGGGAGUAUAAUGAUUUGGCUCACUGAUUAGUGGAACUAUUCUACAAGGCUUAGUAACAAGAGCUUCACUGUAAAGUUUUUGUUAAAGAUGGUGUGAAUCGUAUUUUAUAACUGAUCUUUUUUGAACAUGGUCGAAGCUCAAGUUAACGCGAAGGGCAAUCAGGUCUAGCCUGAGAGUUAUUUGUUAAUUUGCGGGGAUCUCAGAGGUUGAACUUGCGAUUGAUCUUGAGAAAUCGACUGUGCUGAAAUUUGUUCUCACUCACAUUUAUGUAGAGAUCAAUUUUUCGACUUCAGCCAGAUUGGGCGAAAAGUUUAGUUGAUAGAACGCGCUACUAACUUACUCUCUGACUUCUGAGCAAGUAGUUAGGUUGCGGAACAUGACAUGAAUUUUAAAUAUUGGGUAGUUGCGUGGAUUUAACAUGAAUUUAUUAGUCCCAUACCCUCUAGACAUUAUUUAUUAAAAAAAUUUCCUCAUUGCCUUUCCAAAGAGCUCUAAUAUCAUAAAUACCCUUUAAAAUUUUGAAAUUUCAUAUUUGCCCUUAAAAAACAUAAAAGUUUUCAAAAAUGCCCUCAUAACUAUCACUCCGUCAUGGUUAGGCAUAACAGAUUCAAAAUACCGAAUUACCCUCCAAUGUAUUUUCAUUAAUACGCUCACAGAUUUUCUAUACAUUACAAAAUAACCCCUUAAUUUNUUUGCCCUAAACUUCAACAACCAGGGAAAAAAUACAAAAGAAAAUCUUUCUUUAAUAUUUUCCUGCAGUGUUAUCUGACAAGUUAUACUUUCAUUUUGUCACACUAUUUUUUUUUUUUGGGUAAAAAUGUAUAGAAUUUAUUUCAACUAUAAAUUAUUUUGAAUUAACUGCUUGACUUUUCAAAAUUUUGAUUUUAUUAUCCAACUUUUCAGUUUAUUUGAUUUAAGUCAGUCAAUAAUACUCUAAUAUAUACAUAGUUUCAAGAAUAGUAAAAACAUACUAACUAGAGAUGUAAAAAUAAACGAUAAGUUUAAAUUUUAAAAUCAAAUUGCUGUUUGCAGACUCAAAUCAGUACCAUGCAUGUAACCAUAUAACCCAAUCAAAUGACACUGGAAUAUUUGUCACUAAUAUAUUAAUUAAUCACCAAUGCACGAAUUGUAAAGCGGAAUUGGGGACAUAAAAGCCAAAAAAAUAUGAAGCUUUCAAUUGUGGGUGCAUGCCAUCGCAUGUUCGUGCAUGGAGCCCCAUCACCUCCCACGUGAGGAGUUAAACACUACAAAAAUACUCAUAAUUUUUCUCAUCGGACAUUGCCUACCUUGUACCUAACUCUUAAAUAUCCUCUGCGUAGAAAAUUUUCGUAUGCGGUGUAUUCGAUUUCGCCGAUAGUGAAAAAGGGGUGAAGUAAUUUUAGAUCGUGAAUAUAUAUAUUUUUACUAUUUGAUUCUCCGCGAUAUGAGUUCGAUCGUAUUUCAAAUUCACCAAAUACCUUCUGUAAUUGACUUUGAUCCAUUUUGGGCCGCGCCGGACUCAGUUAUGAAUAAAAAAUGUAAAGAAAAAAUUAACAAAAUAUUAAUAUUGGGGAUCGAACUUAUUUUUUCCACUUAAUAUUAAUGUGUUGGAAUUCAAUAUUUUUUUGUCAAACAAAAACGGGAAGUAAAGAACUUGGGCUUUUACACCAUUGAUAUCUUUCUAGACAAACAACAUAUAUAAUUGAGUAAAGGUUAGUUUCCCGGUAUUAACAACUAAUUAUAGGGGAGAAGUAAAUCUCCUCCAUUAAGAAAGAUUCUUAGUUCAAUUUAAUAUCCGUCAUUUAAUAACAUAGUUUUCUGUUUCUUGUUCCUUUCGUUAUCUCUGUUUUAAUCAAGAUUUAUCAGACAUCUUUUAGACUGAUGAACAGUAUUAGUAUUAGAAUUAUUUUAAACUAAUUCCUAUAGAAUUGACUUGUGUGUAUCUAACGCGCCCUUACAUUUUUUGGACGGGAAAUAUUACCAACAUUAUUAAAAAAUAUAUAGCCUAUUCUUUUUCUCAUCAUCACUUUUUUUUUUUUUUUGCUAAAUUACAUAAAACCUUCUGUCAAAACGCGAUUUUUCACUUUUCCCCCGUCAUUUAAAAGCCUACACUUUACCCCCUUGUAAAAUGAAAAAUGUUUACAGGACGGUACGGUGUGUACUGUGAUGAUAAAAUGACCAUUUCGUCCCUCAUCAUUUUCGUCUUCUCCCUCAUCUUCCUCAACAGCAACCUCGAUCGGCUGCGAAGUUUCUUCGCGGUUCACGCCUCAUCUUCCUCUUGCACCCUCGCCGCCCCUCGAUUUCGGCCGGAUGAAAAUCGAGGUGGGGGUGGAUGGAGAGAUGGGUAACGACAACGAGGGCGAAGGCGCGGCGGCGGAGGAGGGCGAAGAGGUGUUUGUGGGCGUGGACGGGGAUGUAGGCGAGGGCGAGGUAGUGGAGGAGGACGAGGCGGCAAGACGGAGGAAGCGAAGCAACAAGGAAGAGAGCGGAGGGGUAUUUUGGGCAUAAAAAAAUAUUUUAUAACAAAACCCUAACGGAUCACUAACGAUAGGGGGCGAAAUGAACAUUUUUUAUUUUACAAGGGGGCAAAGUGUAUAUUUUUAAAUGACAGAAGAAAAAAAUAAAAAAUCACCUUUUGACAUAGAGAUUUUCUCUAAUUUAGCUUUUUUUUUUCCCCUCUUUUUAAGCAGAAUAGAAUAAAGUCCAACAUGCAUUUAAUUAUAUGGUAUAUUGGUUUUGGAAUUUGGAUUAGCUUCGAGUGUCAAUUUAUGUUCCCCUUGUGGGACUAUGGCCCAGUGUGCAACUGCAACGGAACGGGACAGAGGGGUCUGCUUUAAUUGAUGGUGUGGAAUUUUGGACUUUAACAUGCAUGCACGAGUUUUGUACGGUUGCGUUAAUGUCUCGUUUUGACGUUUGUGGUGUGGGUAGAUGGAGACGCAAACAAUAUAUAUAUAAAAUUAUCAAUUUUGAGACAUUUUGGUUACUGGUCAAAUAAUAUUAAAAAAAUUUUAAAUUUAGUUUUCAAAUACUUUCAAUAAUAUAGAUUAAGUGUAACGAAACCAAUCAUCGAUUUGGAAGCCGCAUCAUCGAAAACAACUUGGUAGUAUAGCAACCAGACUCUAUAUAUAUAUAUAUAUAGAGAGAGAGAGAAAGAGAGAGAGAGUUCUAUUACUAUAUAUAUUAUCGAUAGUGAUCAAACGUUUUGUGCUAUCGAAUUUUUUGUUAUUAAAUUUAUCUCUUUGACUAAUUUUAUCCAUUAUAUUAUACUAUUAAACUAACCAUUCACUCAAUUUUAGAUAAUCACUAUUAUUCUAAACGCGCAUCUUUUCAUCUAAGAAUCAAAAAUCGCUUAGUACUAUAAUAGUAUAGUAGUCUAAUUUUAUAUAUAUAUAUAAAAUUAAAAUUAAACUUACAUGUACGCACCUUGCCCAUUACUACAACUGUGCGUCUCUUUAAUUACAGUGAAACAGUAUAUAUAGUUUGUACCUACAGUAGACACAAGGAGGACCAAGAAUUACAACGUAAGAUCGUGUUUACACUGUUUAGCUUUGAUUGUUUGAAUGGUACACGUCAUGUGUACACUUUUGGCGCUCAUCCAAUUACGCACUCAGGAGUAUAAUGAUUUGGCUCACUGAUUAGUGGAACUAUUCUACAAGCCUUAAUAACGAGAGUUUAAAGCUUUUUUCUUUAAAACUAUACAUCUUUGUAGGAUUGCGUGAAUCAUAUUUUAGAACAGACCUUUUUUGAACAUAGUUGGAGCUCAAGUUAACGCAAAGGGCAAUCAGGUCUAGCCUAGGAGUUAUUAGUUAAUUUGCGUGGAUCUCGGAGGUUGAACUUGCGAUCGAACUUGAGAAAUCGAUGGUGCUGAGAUUCGUUCUCACUCGUAUUUAUGUAGAGAUCAAUUUUUCAACUUCAGCGGGAUUGGACAGAAAGUUUAGUUGAUAGAACGCGCUAUUAAUUUACUCUCGGACUUCUAAGCAAGUAGUUAGGUUGGGGAACAUGACAUGAAUUUUAAAUCUUGGGUAGUUGUGUGGAUUUAACAUGAAUUUGUUAGUCCCAUACCCACAAAGUGGGACGAAGCAUGCGCUUUCUAUAUAUAGCUAGAUCCAAGGAAACACCUACAUGUUCUUUUUUGAAGCGUCAAAGAUGAUAUACAUUCAUAGUUACAUAUUUUGAUAAAACUAUGUUUUAGAAGGGAAAGGAAAAUCUCAAAACUCUCAUAUUCACAUCAAAACCUUAGUUGUCAUUGCACGCAUGCAGUAAGAUAGGCCUGCACAAAUUAUACAUGGAAAGAAUGAUUUGGUGAUAAAACAUUAAAAACAAAAACAAAACAAAAAAAAGAAAGCAAAAGAGAAAGGAGCUAGAAGGUUCGGAAAGCAAUCCAAAAGGCUGGUAGUUUAUGAACUACAUUCGUAGAUCUCCUACAAAAUCUCUUGCGUAAAAUGGAGGGUGGAAGCUCUUGAUCACCCUUUCAUAAUCAUUGAUAAUUGAGAUGGCAACUCAAAAUUUAAUAUGAAAAUAUCUUCUAUAUAUUUUUAGUUUCAAUUACGUAGUAGAGAGACACAGAUUAUAGAGAAUUGUUGUGGGAGGAGAAUAACGAGAUAGAGAAAGAUAGGAGCAAGAAUACAGAGGUAAGGCCGUACAACUUUAACGACAAGCUCUUGGAUAGAAGUGAGUAGAGGCNUUUUAUCAAUCCAAUAUUGAUGAUUCCAAUAAAUUUAAUAAUUUUAAUUACUUCGUAGAAGUUAAGAUAAAAAAAAUAUAAUAAGUAAUAGCUAACAGGGCAAUCUAAGUUAAAUAACAAUUUUAAAUGCAAUUAACUCAAAUAAAUAAUUAAUAAAAGUUAGAAGCAAAAUAGUACUAAAGAAUAUCAGCAAACAAUGUUAGUUUAGAUGUUAAACAAAUAAUAAACAAAAGUUAGGAGUUAAAUAGUAAAUCAUAUAAUUAAUAUACCCUUCAAAAGUUUCUCAACGCAUAGACAAAAUAAACAUUUCAAAUCUUAACCAGUGUUAGAUAGAUAUCUAACUAAGGUUAAUAUGACCUAAAAAGAUGGAGUAUACGGUGAGAGUAUUUUUAAAAGAAAGUAUGUAUUUAGAAUGGGUGAUUAUGAUAUAACAAAAUUUAUAAGGAUAUCUAUGAUAUUUCUGAAAUUUAGAGGGUACGAAUGAAAUUAACCCUUUAAACAACUAGUGAACAAAUUAAGGGUAAAAUGGUAAUUUCAUAUUUUGAAGUAGAAUGAAAAAAAUUGAUAAGUUGACGGAAGUUAGUGAAAAUUAACAGUGAGGGCGUUUAUGAAAAAAUAUUACGUUGGCAUUUGUGAAAUUUUAAAAAUUUGAAGGGUACAUAUGAUAUUACAUAACUUUGUGAGGGUACAAAUAAAAUUAACCCUUAUUUAUUUAUUGCGGCAAAGGGGCUAUGGUUUGGUUUAUGCACCAAAUUACGCGACUUUGACUUGUAAGUUGUAACUACCCUACACCGUAACUUUUGGUCUAAUUAAUUAGUCGAGGUGGCUUGCUAACUUAACCAAUUGGUGUGCAUCACUAACUUAGCUAAGUAUGCACUCAUAUCAUCAUCAUCAUUUUCAUUUGCAUAAUAAUCUUAGUAGCAAAAGGUUUGGUGGUUGGUACCUGAGACCCAAGUUCGAAUCCUAGUUGAUUCACAUUUUCAGCUAAGUUUAUUUCUAAAUGAAAUAAACGAAGUGGGUACUGUGCUACCUAUCUCUCAAAAAGAAAAAAAAAAAAAAUCUUAGUGGCACACGGCACACGUGGCAUGCUCAAAAUUACUGCUAAUAUUUAUCAAAACUAAUUAAUAAUAUUUUUUUGGUUUCUUAAAUUGAAAUGAUUUCGGAGAGUAUCAAUUUAAUCCAUAUUGAUGCAUAAAUUUUUAGUUGGCCAGUUGAAGAAAAAUAUAUGAAAUCCCAAUGAACUCAACUCAUAAUAUUUAGGAUUAAUUUUAUACAUAUCCCUGCAAAUAUAGUGAAUAACAAAUAUAUCUUUACAAAGUUCAACUUUCAUAUAUUGUUUUUAUAAAAAUGCCGAUAUUUUCAAAUAUGUCCAUAUGCUUUGUCACCGUUAAGGAACUAUUUAUAUUUCAAUUUUGUCAUCACAAAUACGUCUCUUCAAAAGUCACAACAGUAUAAUAUAAGCAGAAUAAAAAUAUCAAAAAUUAAUCAGGAUUAAAUAUUUAACAUAUGAAAGUUAAACUUUGUAAGAAUAUUUGUCAUUCACUAUAUUUACAGGGACCUAUACAAAAUUAACCCUAAUAUUU
rnacentral:lncRNA from 1 species